GCGUGAAGAAGGGCCCAUGGACGCCCGAGGAGGACAAGCUUCUGGUCGACUACAUCCAGGAGAAGGGCCACGGCAGCUGGCGCCGCCUGCCCAAGCUCGCCGGCCUCAACCGCUGCGGCAAGAGCUGCCGNNNNNNNNNNNNNNNNNNNNNNNNNNNNNNNNNNNNNNNNNNNNNNNNNNNNNNNNNNNNNNNNNNNNNNNNNNNNNNNNNNNNNNNNNNNNNNNNNNNNUGCUAUCAUCAUUUCAUCAGGUAUGCACUAUGAACAACAUAAUGUUCAAAGGAUGAUCAACAUUCAUUCCCAUUGUUAAAGGACCCUGUAUUUACCCACCCAAAGACCACCUAGUUACGCACCGCUGCAUCCCAACCAUCUCUUUCUCACUGUUACUACUCUUCCGCAUCUCUAUUUCACCACCUAUCCAUCGCCAAGAACCCCAAGCCCAGCCCCUUCCACUAGGGCAUUCGAUAGAGGGCUUUCUUCCUUUGUUGCUCACUCCGUGACUGCACCAAUUAUAAGAACACCAUGGAAGUGUGCUCUAACUCCACCAACAUUGACGACAUGCAUAAGGACAUGGACGCUAUGGUAAAGAAGGCGACACAGAGGAAUUGAAGAUGUUGAUUCCGGACCUAGUCAAUGGCACUAUGUCAGUCGACAUACUAGCAGAGUCAUGGAUCAGGACGUGUCCGGUGAUCCUAGUUAGAGAGAAAGAAGGACAAGUAUAGGGAGUACAUGGAUCCUCAAGAAUAGGGGCCAUGCUGAGGUGGGGAUGGUGGUCAUGGUGUCGAUUCUACGAGACCAUGCAAGACCCAUAGUUCUGGACAAAUACAAUGAGGAGUGAGGGAGUCCGGGACUAAGGGGUUCUCAGGCAGUCGGCUAGCUACGUAAAGGCCGACCUAACGGGCUGCACUAAUUGGAGGUCGGGCUAUGUGGCCAUCUUGUAUUCAAGGAGGAAAGCAACAAAGACCGGCCCGGCGUCCAAGUAAAGUACACUAGGUUGGCCUAGCUGCCCUCAGUGGAGGUCGGUUGUAUGUAACCCUAGAUCCCCUGGGUCUUCGCCUAUGUAGCAGGGUUAUCUCAUCUAGGGUUUAGCUCAUACGAUCUCGAGGUAGAUUAACUUUGUAAUUACCAUCCACAUCAAUAUAAUCAUGCAGGACAUAGGGUUUUACCUCCUAAAGAGUGCCCGGACCUGGAUAAAUACCGUUUCCCCUUCUUCUCCUGCAACCCAUCGAUCCAAGGUCCACAGUUCAGGACCCCCUACCCGAGAUCUGCCGGUUUUGACACUCACAUUGGUGCUUUCAUUGAGAGUUCCGCUGAUUGGAUCGCCGAAAGGAUCGAUGUCACGCUUAGUCAUGAGCGAGGAGAUCCUCGACAAUGAUGUUUUUCUCCCCACACAGAUCUUCGCCCUUGGAAGUGUUGUUCUGCACGCCAAUCCGGCCGGCCACCUUGGCCAGGUCGGGAAUUUUAACCCCGGUCAGGAAGUCAGGUUCGGGAGCCUAGAGUUCACCACUACCCCCCGGGGAGAUUUGUGUUAACAAAAUUUUUGGUUCUUUCUGAGGAACCCGCGGGUCCCGAGGCUUCUGCUUCGAAAACCGCGGACCUCGCCAUUGGGACGACCUUCACCCCUAGUUCGUCCAUAGAGCCCGACGUGUUCAACAUGCCACAACUCGUCUCAGCUGAAUACACCUCGGAGGCGACCAUGAGCGUCGGUGGGGCAUUAGUGACAUGGGCUAAUCCCAAAGUCACAUGUGCACAAACUCCGCCGAAAGCCCUAUACUACACGAACUGCUCGACCAGAUCCUAGCCAUGGGCAUGAUGAACAAUCAGGCUACGAUAUACAAUCAGAUCGGGCUCAGACCCGACGAUAGAGAAAUUCACGUCUCGCCCAUCAUCCCUCUGACCAACAUUGUCGAGUGACCGAUUAAGGGCUACCCACACCAGCUAUCGGAGUUAAGAACGGUAUACGUCCCGAUCACUGAUCGUCCGGACUUAACCGAUAGUCCGGAGCAUCUAUCUCACCCCGGCAAUAUUUUGGGGCCAUUGGUUGAUCCGGUGCGUGACCCAGUAAGGCUCGUGGUCACCAAGAUCUGUAACCCACAAAUCACGGGAACCCAAAAUCAUUUCCCACCCACCGUCCAACUCGAGCAUAAAGCAAAAGAGUUUGGUUUACCAGUCCCAUGUAAAGUCACACAUCGGCCAGGAGAAUUAGUACAUCACUCCUAGGCCAGAUUCUUCCUCGAAAACGGGACCGAGAGCCGUGAAGAACGGGAGCUUAUUAGCGCCUUACGGCAUCAUUGCCGUGACGAGGGCAUCCUCAAUGCCCUCUCGAGUCGCCGGAUUCAAACCCUCGCCGAUCUAUCAAGCGUGGUGCUCAAAUACUGCGCCAUGGAAAGCACUUGGCAAAUAUAGAAAAUGUGCAGUGAUCUAAGCCUCACUCAGCAAGCCAGAAUAAUCCGAACAAGACGCACACCCGCACCGACAGGGCCGUUUACGUCUGUACACUCAACGAAGAGAACGCAGACAAGGGCCAGGUCGGUUCUCAACUUUCUGCUCGACAAGCCAUUCCCCAUACACUAUUUUUCGUCCUGAAUCAACUUGCACCCAUAGCCUUCGAGCAUGCUGGCUCAUCAGGCAGGUCGCAAAAAGCGGGGAGAGCACCCUCAAGGCAACACCCGCGGACGGCCGGUCUGGAACGCCGCCGGAUAACAUCACAUAUAUCCUAACGAUCUACGAGACAUUUACCUCAAAGAAUCAGAGAAAUAGAGCUAUUCGGGACCUUCAUCAAAUCCUCCACGCAGUGGCGGCAAACCCAUGGUCGAACACACCCAUCACUUUUGACCAGGGCGACGAGCCGAUGACUAGCUCAGGGAGGACACUUGCCGCCUUAGUCGUGAACCUAAUAGUCGACAGUUUCAGACUCAACAAGGUGUUAAUGGACGGGGGCAGCGGCCUCAACCUCAUCUAUGAGGACACACUUCAAAAAAUGCAGUUUGACCGAUCUCGAAUCGAGCUAAGCACAACCAACUUCCGCGGUAUUGUUCCUGGCAGAGAGGCCCGCUACAACGGCCGAAUAACGCUUGACGUAGUAUUCGGUACACCCGAGAACUACUUAUCAGAAGAAUUCCUCUUUCUUAUCGUCCCGUUUCAUAGUGAUUACCACGCCCUGUUUGGGGCGAAGCCUUCACAAGAUUACAUGCCAUACCGCACUACGGGUACAUGAAGCUCAAAAGGCCAGGGCCAAACAGCGUGAUCACUGUAAUCACAACACUAUGUGUUGUGGUGGACAAAGACGACGUGAUCCUUGAGAAGCGUCCCAAGUCCACAUCCUUCAAACCUGCGGAUGAGAUCUUCAAGCUCUAGGUACAUUCAACGGACCCUAAUAACACCGCGUCCAUAGAAGCACAACUGGAGGCCGACUUGGAUCCAUCUGCGGUAACCGACAGGAUGCAUUGGCCAAUCACAGUAGUGUUUGCCCACAGGAUACUUUGGGUGGAUCUAGGUGGGGAGAGUGGCCGGCUACCGCAAUCACCAGCGGACAGAGGUGUAGUGUCGGUGGUGUUGGGAGGCCCAGAUGUGUUGCUUGGCAGUGGCUGGAUGGGUUGCUCAAGGCGGUGGUGAUCAAGUGCUCUGGCAUGAUAUCUCAUUCGAGUGGCGGGGUUCCCGAUCUGAUUCCGAUCUAAUCAGGAUGGGCCUCGGGAUUGCCCAGCCUUGAAGGAUCUAAUACUCCUUCCCUCGAGCCAUUGUGGCUAUGAUGGUGGACAUGGUGUUGCAGCUAGGCUCGUUUUAUUGAAGGGGGUGAAGAGUCUCGGCGAAAACCAUACUUCAACUAUGGUCGGAGCCAACAACGGUGGUUCCCGCAGGCGUCGCUACCUUGUUGAAGGCGUCAACAUGUAGUCCUCAACUCCGUUCCCAGAAUAUUUUAGGGGUGAACGUAGGUCUAGGUCCACUAGUGGGGACAGUGCCUAUAGCCCCGGCCCGUAAGGGGCUUCAGUCCCGGUUCACCAACCGGGACUAAAGGGGCGGGACUAAAGGCCUAACCUUUAGUCCCGGCCCUAUUCCAAGUCGGGACUAAAGGUGCUCCACGUGGGCACCUCGGAGCGCCCUCAGGGGCAGACCCUUUAAUCCCGGUUCUUUACACGGACCGGGACUAAAGAGUUUCAGAUUUUGUUUAUUUUUGGGUUUAAGGGUUUUAUGGUUUAGGUGUUCGGGAGAUUAACGUGAUGCCUCGUUUGGUGUUCGGGAAUUAGUUUUCAUAUAAUUCUAAAUAGAAAUAAUUAUGCAUAUAUAUAUAUAUAUAAGAUUAACUUAUCUUACAAGCGAGCAUAUAUAUACAAUUAUAUGGAGAUCUGAAUUAUCGGGACUAGAGCCCGUCUAUUCGAUUACAUGGACGAACAUUAGUAAUGGCCCCUAGCUACACUAAAUCGUCCUUUGUCAUCUAUAGCUUCCGUCCUCAGAAAGGUCGCAAGCUCCUCUGCAACAGCAAUCGCGCGUUGCUCUGGUAGGACCUUCGUCCUCAUGGCCGUGUGCUAUAUAAGAAGAGGAGAUGAAUAUGAAUAUCAAUCAUGAUAACAAAGAAUGACGGGUAAAAAUAGAGGUGUGAAUGUUCAUUGCUUACGUCGAAUCUGUGAUCCUUGUGCUCAGAGGUAAACGUGCGAAUGGUCUCGCAAACAUAGUAUCCGCAUAGAUGCGUCCCCCGUGGCUGCUGGUCGCACUUUACGAGAAUAGAAUAUAUAUAAUCAAAAUAAUAAUCUAGCAUCAUAAAUGUAUUGAAAAUAGAAGUAUAUCAUACUGCUACUUACCUGAGCUGCUCUAAAGGUCAGCUUCUCAGGAUCGAUACUGGGAGUCAUGCACUUGAACCGCUUCCAAACCCUGCCCAACAAGGAUAAUGAUUUGCUAAGUUUUUCAUUAAUUGAUAUAUCAGAAAAUCAUCGAAAGAGACCGAUAGAGCGCAAGAAUGAUUGAAAUUACCCUUGGAGCAUGUCCUACAGGCUUUGGAACUGCUCCAAGGGUCUCGAUAAUGGGUCGAAGGCAUCAACUCUUCCCUUAUCAAUUUCAAUGUCCAACAGAAUCCAAUGGAAGCUGCACAUGUAUAUAUAUAUAUGUGUGUGUCAGUAACUUAUCAAUUACACUUAUAAGUGAAUGGACACAACAGUGUAAAGACCCUCACCAGAAGUUGUAUGGAAAUAGUAUGUGGUCACAAAAUUUUUGAUCUGUUAGAAACCUUAGAAGGUUUUCCUCUGUCUCCUUGGGUUUAUCAGUUAGCGUCGCUAUAUGUAUUUUAUCUGGGUCAAUAAACCCAAUAUUUAGGAUGUUCCUAUUUUUACAAUCCAGAAUCUUCAUUCUGCAUAAUAGAGUACAAGUUAUAUAUAGGCAAUGAAUUGAAAUAACUAAACAAGUUAUAUGUAGACAACGAAUUGAAAAACUUACAGACAAUAGCAACUCAUAAGCGAUUUGUCGAGGGCGUCGGCAUUGAACAUCUGGAAGAGUUCAUCAAAGUCGAUAUGGAUUUCUUCGGGGCGGCCGUAGUACUCCCGUGGGACACUCACCACGAUCAUCGUUCUCCCAUUCUUUGAUUCACUUAAGUACCAUGUAUACAAGUAACGCAUAUUUGUUGGGAGAUCAUCUUUGCUGACCAAAGACGCUCCCAUGACAAACUGUGGCUUAGGGGCUACCACAGCCUUGGGUAACCUGUCGUCUUGGGAAGCCAGAAUGUCUUCAACCGGGAUACCCCAUUCAUUCGCCCACUUCUUUGCUAAUUCCAAAUCUUGCCCCUGCACCAGAGGGGGGACAUUCUCGGGUAACACCCUGAGGGGUGGGAUCGACUGUUUGGCCUGUUGUCCAAGCUGAGGAAUGUCUGAUCUUUUUUUGCUUGUAGUUGAACUUGAUUUGCUCCCACUUGCACUUGCACGUGAUCUGGUCUUUUUCACUUCCUUCUGCAAUGUCCGUGUAUAAUCAUCAGGCUUAUGGUGUAAGUCAUACUGUGAUGGAAGGGUCGUGGAGUAUUUUGCAUAUCCUACUUGCUUCUCGGUGUAUUCCGGGCGGGCCUCAGGUUUCUUCUUUUUCAUCUGCACAUCAUGAUGUUCCUUUGCUAUCCUGGCGUUUUCCUCGGAGGUACGAUCAUAAGGUCUGAUAGGAAAAUUAGCAUGAGUUACCUUUGGGAGGGGCGACAGUUUGCGCUUUGGGGGGCUCCGUCGCUUAGAAAUCAUCGGCGCAGCGUUCUUGCUGGCACGCUUCUGCUUAGUAUCCGGAGCGGGCGGCGGCGGAGACGGACGACCCAAGUCCGGCGGCGGUGAUCGAGAUGGACUCGUGUUGUGCUGGCCGACGUCAUGUGGAGGGCUUGGAGGUGAUGGAGGUGUAGGUGACCUGCGAUGACUCGGAGGAGGUGUUGUCCUUGGGGCCGAGCGUGGAAGCUUGAUGUAGUUCUUGUCCCAUAGGAUGACUCCACCCAGUACUUCUCCGAGUGUCCUCUCAUCUUCGGAUCCAGCUAUGUCAAGAUCCAUAUCAUGAAACCCCGCCAUGAUUUCAUCCACCCCGACUUUAGCAAAGCCAGCUGGAAUCUCACGGUCAUGCCAGCGUGCAUCAGGGCCAGAAGGUAAAGCUUGUCCGACGGCCACCUUCAAAGAUAUGUUCUUGAAUUUCUGAUGGAGUUCAGAUGAUGUUGACUCCUUGAUUCCAUCCACGGGGUAGCCGGGACCGCCCUCUAUCAUUCUUCGUGCAUCGUCGGGCGGGGCCUCAGAUUCAUCCACGCUGCUUUUCUGCUUAGAUGGGGCGCGGGUAAUAUCAAAUGCAGGAUCUUCCUGGCGCGCUACUCCUCUAAGCUCAUCAAUCUGCUUCUGUUGCUCGUUAAUCCUCGCAAGCAACUGGUUGAACUUGUCAUUCUCCUCAUCCUGCUGCCGUUUAUUCGCUCUCGCUCGGCUUCUGUAAGUGUAUUGGUCUCUGGCAAACCCAAGCCACCACGGGUAAGAAGGCCCGAAGGCUCGCGUUCGUCCUUCAUUUUCGUCAUUGCCGAGGACCAGUGUGAGCAAAUCUUUCUCUCUAUCUGCAGUGACUUUCUUUUUCCCUCCUUAAUUUCUUUCACUAUCUUUUUCCAAUUCUCCCUGGGUAUCCUAAGACCGUCACUGCAGAUGAGGUCCCCUGUUUCUUCGUCGUACGAACCACCAUGCGCAAGGAACCAAUUUCUUGCUCUCAAUUCCCACUCGUCAUGGAGUGGUUCAGGUACGAUGCCUUUAGCUAGCAGAUCUUGCUCUUUCUUAUCCCACUUUGGGAUGGCGGUCUCAUAGCCCCUGACCCCAGCUUGUGGUGAUAUUUCUUCUUGUCGACAUUUAUCUUGUUCUUUUCUGAUAAUGCCUGGGCAUCUUCUGACUCCUUGUACUCUUGAAAUGCCUUCCAGUGAUUCGCCUGCUUGGCUAGAUACCCCUCGAUUACUGGCACUUUCUUUGUCUUCAGAUAGUCUUUCCAUAGCUUCUUCUUCCAGCUACGGAACAGUUCGGCCAUCUUCUUUAGAGUCCACUGCUUGACUUUGGCCCUCAGUUUGUCUGCGGUGUCUUCAUUCUCACAUUCUGGCAGGUUGAAAUGUGACAUGAGAUCGUUCCAAAGAUUAUCUUUGUACCUUUCGGCGACAUAGUCACUAUCGGCUGCCCCUUUGCGCUUGUUCCACUCCUGAACGCUAAUCGGGACGUGAUCCCUAACGAGAACUCCGCAUUGCUUCUUGAAUGUGUCAGCAGCAUUCUUAGGAAGCUUGGGUUCGCCCGUAGGCAAUAUCACCUCAAAGGUGUAAUGCGUCCGUGCAUCCAACUUUCUAGUCGGGCCUCGUUUCGUAGCUUUGCUCGAUGUGGAGGCCUAAGAGGGAGAAACAUUCAUGAAAUGAAUGUAUAUGUAUACAAUAUAGAGCUAUCUCCAAUAUUUUUCACAUAUUACAAGUGAUUGUCGAACUUCAUAUGUAUACCUCGCCAGACUUUAUUAUUUCUCCACCGGCUUCUCCAUCAGUGGAGCUAUCACCUUCUCCGUCAUUGGACCUAUCUCCUGCCCCAUCGGCUUCAUCUUCGUGUCGGUCGACCUCCAUUCCAUAUCCGGAGGGGUUUAGAUAUGACGACAGAGAUUCAGCUGGUUCAACGUCGGGGCCGUCUUUGAUUAUAUAUAUUCGAGAAGUUCUUCCUCUUCGAGGUUCCUGACAUGUGGAUCCAUGGUUCUGCAAAAAACGGACAUUUGAUUAACUAAUAAGCUAACAAACUAUAUAAGAGGGGUUGGAAACUUCGAAGUGUCGUUUUAUAUAGGAGGACCUUUAGUCCCAGGUCUUGGCUAGAACCGAAACUCUAAAAUAUGUCUAACGGAUUCUCUUAACCUUUAAGGAUUUAACAAAAUGGCGACAUUCUAGAUGUGUAGAAAAUGAUCCUAUUUUUCCUGAUCUCAUCUACCCUUCUAUAUGUCACAUUGUCUAGUGUCAAAGGACUUUGUUGAACUUUGUACCAAAAAAGAAUUAUUCUAUCAGGAACUCCGUUCCAAAACAACUUUAGUCCCGGGUCGUGGCUCCACCCGGGACUCCUAGAUUUCUGCAUAGUAUUCAAAGUAGGAGUACUUUUCCAAUUUGAGCAUUCAAUAAGAAAAACCAAAUCGUAAAAUAAAGUAGUAUUCAAAUUAGCAUGCAUUCAAUUAUAAGAAAAACUACAUCAUCUCUUUUGUUCGUACAUCGUCGAAUAUUAUCACUAAUACUCCUCGAAUACUAUCAUACAUAUAGCAUCACUGAUACAGCUAGAACCGUAGCACCCGACGGGUAUCGUCGCGGGCGGUGGAUACCCAAAGAGAAGGAACCAUCACAGGAUCAUAGAUCCAGUGAAAUCCCCGAAGAACCUGCCAGGUAUGCUCGAACCUGCCCUCCAACGCAACCAUGUAGCGACGGACGUGCUCAUCCUCCUCGCUGACACGGUGACGUACCACCUCCGCGGUGUCCGGAAGCCUCGGCACCCUCACUGCCCACGCGACCGCCACCAAACAAGGAGCGGGUCAACAACGGGCUGGCUCCUCACCAACCUACGCCCCCCGGAAGGUAGCACCUCCCAAUACCAGCCGGGCGGAGCCCAGUCCCGGAUAGGGCCCCUCUGAUCAAGCAGGUGUCCUCCACCGAGUCGACGACGAGGAUGCGGGAUAGGCAUCGUAAAAUGAACUAAAAAAUAAACUAGUUCUAUUAAUUUUCUUGCUAAAAAUAAACUAUUAACACUUAAGCAUAUACAAUAGCAAAAUUAAACUAUUCACACUUAAGCAUAUACAAUAGCAAAAUUAAGCAAUAAUCUAAGAAACACUAAUUAAGCAUCUAUAUAUGUAGAAAUGUCUUCUUCAUCUUCUUCUUCUUUCUUAUUUUCUUCUCCGCUUCUUCUUCAACUUCUCUUCUUCUACUUCUCCUCUUCUUCUAUUUUUCCUCUUCUUCUCCUCUCCUCCUCUUCUUAUUCUCCUUUUUCAUCUUUUCUUCUCCUGCUCUUCUUAUUUUCCUUUUUCCUAAUCUUAUNNNNNNNNNNNNNNNNNNNNNNNNNNNNNNNNNNNNNNNNNNNNNNNNNNNNNNNNNNNNNNNNNNNNNNNNNNNNNNNNNNNNNNNNNNNNNNNNNNNNNNNNNNNNNNNNNNNNNNNNNNNNNNNNNNNNNNNNNNNNNNNNNNNNNNNNNNNNNNNNNNNNNNNNNNNNNNNNNNNNNNNNNNNNNNNNNNNNNNNNNNNNNNNNNNNNNNNNNNNNNNNNNNNNNNNNNNNNNNNNNNNNNNNNNNNNNNNNNNNNNNNNNNNNNNNNNNNNNNNNNNNNNNNNNNNNNNNNNNNNNNNNNNNNNNNNNNNNNNNNNNNNNNNNNNNNNNNNNNNNNNNNNNNNNNNNNNNNNNNNNNNNNNNNNNNNNNNNNNNNNNNNNNNNNNNNNNNNNNNNNNNNNNNNNNNNNNNNNNNNNNNNNNNNNNNNNNNNNNNNNNNNNNNNNNNNNNNNNNNNNNNNNNNNNNNNCUCCUUUUUCUUCUUUCCUUCUACCGGCCGGAGUGUUGGGAGGAGGGGGCGGGGGACUUACCGGCCGGAGGCGUCGACGACGGCAAGGAAGGCGUCGACGACGGAGAGGACGACGUCGGCGGCGAGGAGGACGACGUCGGCGGCGAGGAGGACGACGGCGACGGCGAGGAGGACGGCAGGCGGCGGCGAACAGGAUGGCGGGCAGCCUGACGGCGUCGUCGAGUUUGUAGCUGUGCCGCGCCGGGCAGGAGAACGAGGAAGAAGGAGAGAAGGAAAUGCGAUUUGGGUUGGAAAUUUUCUAACUCCCGCUUAUAUAGGUGGAUCUUUAGUCCCGGUUCGGGGCUCGAUCCAGGACUAAAGACCCCCUUUAGUCCCGGGUGGAGCCACAACCCGGGACUAAAGGCCCUUUUUCGGCAGACCAAAAGGCGGGAAGCAGGGGCCUUUAGUCCCGGUGCGGGGCUCCAACCGGGACUAAAGGGGGUCUUUAGUCCCGGUUCGAGCCCCGAACCGGGACUAAAGUGCUCGGCAGGCGGCAGGCGAGGGACUUUAGUCCCGGGUCGUGGCUCCACCCGGGACUAAAGCCCCUCCUCGGCUGCAUGAUAAGUUUAGUCCCACCUCGCCCAGCGAGGGGGGACUAACACUUGUUUAUAAGCCCCAUCGCAGCAUCUCCAUCGAGCUUCUCUCUAAAGUAGGCUUACGGGCCUAAACUGACUGUAAAUUAAAAAAUUGAAACUAUAUUUGAAACCUCACUUUGAAUUCAGGUUUAAUUUUCUUUACAAAUUCUCAUAUAGUUUCAAUUUUUUUCUACUUUCAAAAUUAACUAUUUUGUUANNNNNNNNNNNNNNNNNNNNNNNNNNNNNNNNNNNNNNNNNNNNNNNNNNNNNNNNNNNNNNNNNNNNNNNNNNNNNNNNNNNNNNNNNNNNNNNNNNNNNNNNNNNNNNNNNNNNNNNNNNNNNNNNNNNNNNNNNNNNNNNNNNNNNNNNNNNNNNNNNNNNNNNNNNNNNNNNNNNNNNNNNNNNNNNNNNNNNNNNNNNNNNNNNNNNNNNNNNNNNNNNNNNNNNNNNNNNNNNNNNNNNNNNNNNNNNNNNNNNNNNNNNNNNNNNNNNNNNNNNNNNNNNNNNNNNNNNNNNNNNNNNNNNNNNNNNNNNNNNNNNNNNNNNNNNNNNNNNNNNNNNNNNNNNNNNNNNNNNNNNNNNNNNNNNNNNNNNNNNNNNNNNNNNNNNNNNNNNNNNNNNNNNNNNUCUCUUCUUCUUCAUCAUCGUCUUCCAUCAUAACCCCUCUUUCUCUGUGCUUGGUCCAAACUUUAUAGCCCGACAUAAAACCGGACCGAAGCAGGUGGCUCUGAAUGACUCUUGAGGAAGUGUAAUCCUUCUCAUUCCGACAUUCAACACAUGGACAAAACAUAAAGCCACCACCAUGCUUGUUCGCAUCGGCUGCAUCUCGAAAAGAAUGCACGCCUUCUCUGUAAGCGGUUGUGCGUCGAUCACCGUACAUCCAUGGAUGGCUCAUCUGCGUUAUACGACAGUAUAUCAAAUACAAUCACGAUCCUAAAAAUUAGUAUUGCACGGUCUAAACGAGGAAAUAUAGUUGCUAACCUUUUAGAAUAAGUAUAAAUAAAGAGGAAGAGGUUUAAGCGUGGCUCAGGCAUCUCAUAUCGUAGUUGUGUUAGGUGAACUGAAGCGGCAUCGCUCUAACACACAUUUCAACAAACACCUCUAGUGCAUAAAAAAAAUAGAGAGCUAGCACACACCCACACUCUUCCAUCCAAGAAAAAUGCAAGGAAGAGGGGAGAGGGGGCUGUGCUAUAUCUAGGCAGAGGACUUUAGUCCUGGUUUGUGAUACAAACCGGGACUAAAGGUGGUGCACAUGCGGGCUGCACACCGCGUAGCCCUUUAGUCCCGGUUUGGGACACAAACCGGGACUAAAGGCUCCUUACGGGCCGGGACUAAAGCCUCGAGGGAGGCAUUGCAAUUUGGGGCGACGUGGCCGGGCCUUUAGUCCUGGCCCAGAGGCAGGCUGGGACUAAAGGGUCCAGACCAAAGGCCCGUUUUCCACUAGUGGUCUACCCAGAUCGGAUGAUGGAGAUGCUAGGAUUCGUGUUCCCCUUUUGGGGCAUCAUCUUGGAGUUGGGCAUGGCUGGAGAGACUAGUGGCUGCUUGCGGUUGGUUGGUUGCUUUCAAACCGGCCGGUGGUGUUGAUCCGAUGAUAGCAUUGUGUUUUUAGAAAAUGGCCAUUCUCGGUAGAAAUGCAUUGUACUCAGUGAGAGGACUCUCAUCAGUAGAAAAAUACCCAUGUGCUCCUUAUGCCGGUAUUGGAUUGCUUGCAUGAAAGCAUCCAUCCUAUGGUUGUUGCAUCUAUAAAAUUGUAAUGCACCAAUGUUUCUAUUUAAGCAUGAUAGGAGAUAGGAAACAUUAUGUGUAUUGAUGGCAAGCAAGGCGUAAAGCUUAGUCAAUUGUAGGUUCAUAGUAGCAAACACCAUAUAAGCAAUGCACACAUGUUCUACACUUACUUGGAAUAGAUCUUGAUAUGUUGCCCACCUACAUGUACGCCACGUUCAUAUGCAACGUACGCGAUUUUAGCACUUUGAUGGAAUUGCUAUUGUAAUGUUCGAAAAACCCACAAACAUCCUAGGACUUGGAAGCAUUAGAAUUUUUGGCUACACGACCUUGCUUUCAAGACAAAGAUGCAUUCAGCUUUGUGGUUAGCUUGAGAAGGAUUAUUCUUGUGUGCCCCGUCAUGGAACAUCCACACUUCAUUCAAAUGCUAGUUUGUAUCUACAUAGUGGAACAACCUUACUACCUUAGCAUCCAUGACUCUACUUUAUUCUGUAAACACACGCUAAAUAUUUUGAAAUAGUCACUUCAUUGUUGUAUGUUGGCAAUCAACAAUGUUGACAACCAUGAGAACAUCGAUAACAACAUUUUUUAACCAAUGAAAUUUAUAUUUGACAUAUUAUUCCGAACAGUUAACAAUGAAACUUCUUCAUAUGUUAUCAUAGUAAGUAAUAAAGUAAUAUCUCAUGCCAUUUUUUUUUACUCUUGUAUAGGAGACUACAAAAAUGACAAGCUACACUAAAUAAAAAUACUCAAGCAUGAGAGAAAGAAAUGGAUUCUUGUACCCCUACAUUGGAAUUAAGCUAUGAAAUAACAAAAAGUAUUAACUACAAAAUGCUUAGUUUGGAAAAUAGGCUCUAGCUACAACAUCGCCGAUAGUCCAUGUCAGCAAUUUCCUAAGAAUCAUCUUGUCAUAUAUUUUAUAUCAUGAAUAAGAAUAUGUUAAACAUGGAUCAAGGUAGAACUAAAAUUGAUCUUUUGUCGUGGUUAAGUUGUGGAUGGGUGACAACAGUUUAGCUAAUGUUGUGACAUUCCUCUGGUUCUAUGUUGACAAUAGUUUGCCCUGGCUCUGUAGAAACGCACUAUAUGGAGGGGGAGGAUGAUCAUAGCAACACAGAAAUGUUCAUUUGCUCCAUAUGCAGUAUUGCGUUGCUGACAUCAAAGACUCCCUCGCAUGUUGUUGCACCACAUGGUAUCAAAUGCACUGUUCAAGAAUUCAUCCGAUUAAUCAGUUAAUGGGCCAGUUAAUCGCUACUCAUUGGGUGGCUGAUUCGAAUAACACAUAUUCAUCGUGUUAACUUGUCGGGCCGAUUAAAUGGCUUGUCAGGACGAUUAAAUGGCAUGUUAGACCGAUUAAUCUUAGUUGGCGUACUAACUCGUCGGCCAAAAAAGCCCAAUUUUUUGGCAUGUAACCUCUCCCAUCCUCCUCUCGCUCCUCGAUAGCUAGGAUUUGAUCAAACAGUACCAUAUUAUGGUAUAUCGCAUAGCUGAGAGGAUGAGAGUAGGGUAUAAUACAUAAAAAACUAGAAUAUGUUCACAGAUUCCUAUUUAAUCUAUCGAUUAAUGGACGACCGAUUAAUCCAGUUAAUAGGAUGAUUCACCGAUUAAUCUCUACUCCCAAGCUUACCGAUUUCCUUAACAAUGAUCAAAUGACAAUGUAAUAGUGUCCUUAAUUAAGCAUGAGGUGAGUGAUGGAACUGGAUCAUAACUGGCAACAUAACCAACAUGUGUACCCGACGAAUUGGACUAGUUGGAACUUCUUUUGAAUUGUUUCCGAAACACACGGUCAUCCUACGACUUGGAAGCAUCAAAAUUUCUGACUGCAUGACCUUGCUUUCUGAAGGAAGUCAAAUUCACCAUAGUGGUUAGGUCGAGAAUGACUCUUCUUGAUUUUGCAUCAUGAUACUCGAACACUGGGUUCGGAUUAGUACUGAAACUCUUUGAAAUAGAACAACUACAAGGUUCCACCAUAUGUGUUUGUUACGUUAAGACCCAAUGAUGUAGAUGUUUGUAAAUCCCAGUGCACAAUGCAAAAAGCUGUUAGAAGAUUUUCGGUGGCACUUCAAUGGUAACAAGUGAAAUGUAUGUUCAUCAUAUCUAUUUAUCCAUUAUAUAUUGGAAGAAAUAAGAGGAAUAAGAAAAGAGAGACAUGCUAAGUUUUCUCCAAAAAAAGAAAACAUCCAGCAAUCGGGAGGAACCUCAUAAUUACAUAUUAUUUGAUUACUCUCUCUUAACUUUUUUGAGAACUUAACUUUUUAUUAUUGAGAAAUACCUGCAACUUCAUUGAUAAUCACAACCAUUACCGGUACAUUGAUUUGAAUCAAUUGUAAAGUAACUCUUACAAUUAAGAAUUGCAAUAAUAUCUCUUGGAGGCAUCUUCUCCUUAGUGUCGGUUUAUGCAAGAUGUGAUACCAUCAAGACUUUAGUACAAAUAGUGCAAUUCGACUGGAGCCAAGAAACUUCUACUUUCUAACCUUCACAGACUUGAUUACCAGUAAAGGCUUCUAAAAUCGCUUUGAGUAUCCCAUCCAAACUCAUGUUAGGCCGUUAGCCAUGAAUGAGCUUGGCCCGGUUGAUCCCCACAAAGUGUAGGCAGUCGAGCCAUAAUGUCGUCAAAGGAUUCCAACUCCACAAAAAACAAAACCUACAAAUCUAACAUGAAAUAAUAUCAUAAAAUACGAGAUCAAAAUAAUGGGUUUUGCAAGGACACAAAAGUAUAUGUCUCCAUGGCAUCACCAAGAAGACUGCUAGAUGUGAUGAAGAGACCAUAAUUUCUUGAAGAUCCGAUGUCUACCACCUCCUAAAGUGAAGAUGGCAUCUCAAGGCGAGGAGAACAAAAAUUCCUUGUGAUGACCAUGCAAUCCUUCUUAACUCAUCUGUUAGCAUGAUGGACCUUUUUUAUUUACUUAAUAGCCUUUUAAGGCCCAAACUGUCUAACGAAGGGCACACAGUACAUUCGUUAGGGGUAUAUCUCGCUUACAAGGAGAUAUACCCUGCCCCCACCUUUUAAAAUAGGGGGCGUGGCCUGGCCCAUUACUGUACAUAGAUUUUUUCUAUUUUUCUUUUGGGUUUUUUCGUUUCUUCACUUGUUAUCAUGGUUUUCUUCAGUUUCUCUGUUUUUCUUUAUUUCUUCACUAGGUUUCCUCAGUUUUUUUUGUGUUUCUUCAUAUAUUUUCUAUGUUUUUUUUCAUUCAAAAAAUCUCUAAUUCUACAUGAUGGAAAUUUUUAUUUGAAACCUGACACAUUUUUUUAUACAAGUUCACCAUUGAUGAAUACAAAAACUUUCUACUACAUGUUUUGGACAUUUUUUCACAUACAUGUUCAACAUUUUUAAUAUACAGUUUGAAUAUUUUUUAUUGUCAAUAAUCAUUUUUCCUUUCCUUUUAUAUUCUUUCCUUGUUUUUAACACAUAUCAUUAUUUUUCAUACAUAUUGUAAAUUUUUGCAUAUAUAGUCAAUUGAUUAUACAUGUUUAACAUGUUUUUGAAUGCAAGUCCUAUAUGCCUAUUUUUUACAUACAAAUUUUAUGACUUUGAUAUACAUCUAUAACAUUUUUAACAAUUCUUUAAAAUUUCCAAAAAUAAAAUAUAUUUUUUGAAACAUAGGUAUUUGAGAGAAUUUAAAGUACAUGUUACCAAAAUUNUAUCCAAUUCAUUGUUAUAUUGCAUUUUUUUAUUCUUUUUGAAAAAUAAUGCACCAAAUCAAAAAUUUGAGAAAUAUACCUGCCUCGGCCAUGCUCUGGCCGACUGGGAGCUCUCGGCCUCGCCAUAGCCGACAGGGUGCUGUCGGCCUCGCCCUCGCCGACAGGGAGCUCUCGGCUCCCACGUGGCUGAUUAGUGGCCGGCCACUGCCACUCGGCUUUGGGGAAGCCGAUAGGCCAGUCGGCCUGGCCGUGGCCGAGUAGUGGCAGCGCCCGNNNNNNNNNNNNNNNNNNNNNNNNNNNNNNNNNNNNNNNNNNNNNNNNNNNNNNNNNNNNNNNNNNNNNNNNNNNNNNNNNNNNNNNNNNNNNNNNNNNNNNNNNNNNNNNNNNNNNNNNNNNNNNNNNNNNNNNNNNNNNNNNNCCCCCCCCCCCCCCCCUCUCCCUCCUUUCUCUAGUUCUUCUCCCUCCUCUAUUUCUUCUCCUUAUUUCUCCCCUUAUUUAUUUUUGCUGUUUUGGAGGGAAGUGUCAUCUUUUUUCCUCUUUGGAAUAAUCAUUCUAUUAAUUCUAAGAAGAAUUCAAACAAUGAAAAAAUGGUACUAAAAUGAUGUACUCCUUUUCUUGGAUAAAUAGCAAUAGACACAUGGAACUAAAAUUACAAUUUCCUACUUCUUGAACAGAUAACAACUNNNNNNNNNNNNNNNNNNNNNNNNNNNNNNNNNNNNNNNNNNNNNNNNNNNNNNNNNNNNNNNNNNNNNNNNNNNNNNNNNNNNNNNNNNNNNNNNNNNNNNNNNNNNNNNNNNNNNNNNNNNNNNNNNNNNNNNNNNNNNNNUGAACAGAUAACAACUAGAUUUUGAACAUUCGCAAAAAAAAGAUGAAAUUUGGGCAUGAACAGAUAACAACUAGGAUGAAAGGACUAGCUUACAUGAACUGUUUUGAACGUCUCACUCGCGAUGAUAUUUUAUGUUGUGUAAGGAGGAGGGCAUCCAAACUAUCCGUCUCACUCGCGAUGAUAUUUUAUGUAAGAAACUUAUGUGUAUUUUGAACGUUAGCUAUUUUUCCUACUCCGUUGCCGUAAAUAUUUCCACGUCUCCAUUCCCGCCUAAUUUUUCGCACCACCUUUCCCGCCAAAUUUUGCCCGUUUCGUUUCCCGCCACCUUUCCCGCCAACUAUUUCUCUUAUUUCCUGCCUCAUUUCCCUCCUCUUUUCCCCGCCAUAUUCCUGGUCAUCUAAGUCUAUAAAAGGAGGCGUUGGACUGCCUUCCUCCAUCAUCCAGCCUCACUUGAGAACACUAGCACUGCCUUCCAUCCUCCAUCAUCCAGUGAAUAUGAGUUUGCCUUGCUCGGAUCAGAGCAUCAGGCCUAAGAAAAUGCAGAGUGUGAGUUUGCCUCGGGGUGUGGAAGCAGUUCGAUGUUGGUGCGGUGAUCUCUGCAAGGUGAAGGAGGUGACGGAUUUUUCAGAUUGGUUGGGCAUGAAGUUUUUCAUGUGCGCCAAUUAUGAAUCUGAUCCGCCCGAAUCUAUUUCUGCGUACCUCAGGCCUCCGGUAUGCUCAAGUUAUCCAGAGUAAAUAUGUUAUUGAUAUUAUUGUUUACUUGAUAUUUAUAUAUAUUUUUUGUAGUCUCCUCCUCCUCUCUGCAUGUACUAUCGUUGAUUGACACGGAAAUGCCGGACUGGACGGUGACUGAGAUUCGUGAAAGAGGUCGCCGUGCAUGGGCUAGCUUGGACUUGGAAGAGCGCCGCGCGAAGGCUGAAGCAGAGGAGAAAGCAGAGCAGAAGAAAGAGUGGGAAGAUUACUGUGUGGAGCAGAGGGCUUUUAUUGAUGAGAUGAUAAGGAAGAACCAAGAAGAGAAAUUUCGGUUGGAGGAGGUUUACAGACAACGGGAACAGGCCCGUGAAGCUGAGAGGGAGAGAAAGAGAGAAAGGGCUCGUGCGGCCAAAGCAGCAGAAGAAGCCGGUGAUGGAAAAGGGAAAUAUCCAUGCUGGACUCAGUAGAUUUAUUAUAAUUUCAGCAAGUUGUAUCUUAAUUUCAGCAAGUUGUGUGAGCACGUUGUAUCUUAAUUUUAGCAAGUUGUGUCAGCACGUUGUAUCUUAAUUUCAGCAAGUUGUAUUUUAAUUCCUGCAAGGUCUAUCUUAUUUUGUCUGUAAUCUCAAGUUAUUGGUAGUAUAUGUGUUAUCCACGAAGAACCAAUUGAGCAUUUUUGUUCCCGUCUUGCUUUCCCGCCAUUUUGUUCCCGCCUAGCUUUCCCGCCAUUUUUUUCCCGCCUCGCUUUCCCGCCAUUUAUUUCCCGCUCUUCGGCACCUAUAAAACCCUCUCCACAGCAAGGUUGGUAAGGAGUGUGCUCAAAAUGUCUCAUUAUCCUUCCGAUCGUAGUUUUCACAGUGGGCAUUGCCCAAUUAAGGAUGGCAUCCUUGAGAGCUUGUUUGUUCGGGUAGAGGGCACCUGUUGCAAUGUUUUUCUGGUGAUACUGCCAGGCAGAAUCAUGACCGUCGUUCACCAACAUUGCAGAUGAGAAGUCCUGAUUCCAUGAUGCAGGAAUAGGCACUUCAUUUGCGUUCUCUUCUCCAUCUGAUUCGGCGGAUUCAUCGGAAAUAUCACCCGCUAUAUCUUCUUCAUGCAUCUCGUUUUGCAUGUGCCCAUCUAUCUCGUCGGCAUCCGCCUCACCGCUGAGAUAAUCAUCUGCAUCUCCCCCUUCUGCCUGACUACUCUGGCCUGCUUCGUACAAAUCAUCCCCAGCAUGGGACGCAUGAAUUGACUGUGAAUCAUGCAUCCCUACACUGCUCUCAUCAUAUUCAGAGCUACGUUCCACUUCAGGUUCAGUAACCGGCUUUAGCACGGGGAGAAGUAAGGCCACAGGAUGACAUCCCCUACGCUCGCAAGAUUGUAACAAGAGCACCCACUGGUCGUCCCGCUCUAUAUGCUUCAAAUACCAAAAAAUAUCACCAAUGGACCGGGUCCAUAAUGCAUGAACACCGACGGUGUGUGUUUCAGUAUUGAACCCUAAACAUCGCGCAAGCCAUUCUGUCAACUGAGUAACAGACCAUGUUUUAGGGGAGGACACUUGCACCUCUGUGUAUGAAAUUCACUAAGAUCAGCUCACAUCUCAUUUGUUUGAACGGUACCACGACCAUAGUGCAAACAUAACGUCACUAACUCAGACAUCUUUGCUGACCUAACAUAUUAUUCAACAAGGAAAAAAAUUAGAAGAACGACAAACCCAAAUAUAUUUUCCAAAUCUAUCGGAGAACCUAAAAAUAUUAAAACUACUUAAUUUAUACUAAUCUACCGGAGCACCUAAAACUAGUUAGACAACUAAAUUUAUACUAAUCUACCGGAGCACCUAAAACUAGUUAAACAACUAAAUUUAUAUUAAUCUAUCGGAGCACCUAAACCUAGUUAAACAACUAAAUUUAUACUAAUCUAGCGGAGCACCUACAACGAGUUAAACAACUAAAUUUAUACUAAUCUACGGGAGCACCUAAAACUAUUUAAACAACAAAACUAUUUUAUCCUUGAAGCGUGCACAGAAACGAUGAACGACGAACGACUCUUGACGAACACCGAGAUUAAUCCCACACCACCACCUCCAACUCCACCAAAACAACCAACUACACCCACACCACCACCACCACCACCACUACAACCUCCACCUCAACCUCCACCACCACCACCAAAAAUAGCUUCAAAACAAGCACCACAAACUACCCCAUCGCGAGUGAGAAGGAUAGUUCAGAUGCCCUCCUCCUUACACAACAAAUGUACGGUUUAAAAAGUGGAAAUGGCAGAUUUUUUGGGUGGGGAGAAGGUAGGAGGAGAAAGAAAGAAAGGAGAUAAGGUAGAAAGGAGAAGGAAGAAAGAGCAAGGAGGAAGAAAGGAGGAAGGAGGAAGAGAGGAGGAGGGGCAGGGUCAGCUGGCUGGCCACUAGUCGGCCUUCCCCAGGCCGAUAGCCUUAUCGGCUACGCCAGGGCCGACAGGCAGGGCCGACUGGUCUAUCGACGUGGCCUGGCUAGUAGUCGGCCGCCACGUGGCCGAGAGGUACUUAUCGGCCGCCACUAGGCCGACUGGCCCCCUGUCGGCCGCCCCAACGCCGACAGCAUGCUGUCUGUCAAGCCAGGGCCGAGGCAGGCCCACUUUUGAAAAUAUUCAAAUGGGCGCAUUAUUUUUUAAAAAGAAUAAAAACAACAAUAUUAAAAAAUUAGCUCUAAAAUAGGGGGUGUGGGCUGGCCCAUUACUCUACAUAGGUUAUUUCUAUUUUUCUUCUCGGUUUUUUCGUUUCUUCACUUGUUUUCAUGGUUUUCUUCAGUUUCUCUGUUCUUCUUUACUUCUUCACUAGGUUUCUUCAGUUUUUUUUGUGUUUCUUCAUAUAUUUUCUAUUUUUGUCUCUUUCUAAAAAUCUCUAAUUCUACAUGAUGGAAAUUUUUAUUUGAAACCUGAAACAUUUUUUGAUACAUGUUCACCAUUUAUGAGUACAAAAACUUUCUACUACAUGUUUUGGACAUUUUUUCGCAUACAUGUUCAACAUUUUUAUAUACAGUUUGAAUUUUUUUUAUUGUCAAUAAUCAUUUUUCCUUUCCUUUUAUAUUCUUUCCUUGUUUUGAACACAUAUCAUUAUUUUUCAUACAUAUUGUAAUUUUUUGCAUAUAUAGUCAAUUUUUUAUACAUGUUUAAAAAAAAUUUGGAAUGCAAGUCUUAUAUGCCUAUUUUUUACAUACAAAUUUGAUGACUUUGAUAUACAUGUAAAACAUUUUUAAUAAUUCUUAAAAAUUUCCAAAAAUAAAAUAUAUUUUUUGAAAUACAGGUUUUUGAGAGAAUUUAAAGUACAUGUUACCAAAAUUCAACUACAUGGUGAACCAUUCUUUCGAAUGGUAUAUGACAUAUUUUGAAUUAUGCCAAUUUUUUGGUAGAUUGUAUAAUUAUUUAAAAAAAAUGUUAUGAAUAUAUUUUUGCAAUUAGUGAACAUUUUAAUGUGUAUAACAAUAAUUCCGUAAAAUGUACAAACAUUAUUUAUAUUAUAUAAACAUUUCCCAAAGAUGCCAAAUACAUUUUGUUGGAAUACGUUCAUAUUUUAAGAAUGUCACAAACAUUUGGUAUAUGGCUAUCAGCAAUUUAUUUGAAUUAACCAAACAAAUUUUUACAAUGUCUUAACAUUUUAUCCAAUUCAUUGUUUUAUAGUUAAUUUUAUUUUUAUACUUAAAUAGAUUCGAAAAUAAAAACAAUAGAACAAAAUAAGAUAACGAACAUAAAAGUAGUCAGAAAUGAACUACCCUGGAAACUGCUUGAACCGGAGCAUUAAUAGUGCCCAAAUACUAAAAAGUGCAGCUGCAUUAUUUGGUUGGAACGAGCGCACCCUCACGCGGAAAUGUGCAGCAAGUUAUUGCACUUUAUUCCGGUUUGUUUAACAAAAAAUACUAUAACUUUUGAACUAAGCCUCAGAACUACGAUCCGUUUUCACGGUUGUGUUUCUUACGACGAGCUUUUCAAAACUAGAUCACAUAUGGAUAGGUUUCGACAAACUUUUUUUUGAGCAUCUGUAGGGGUGAUAUUUAGGCAACUUUAAUGCUAAAGAAAAGGAACUUAUUGGUGUGCAUAGUAUGAUUGUCUAACAAUGAAAAUUACUUUAAAAUUAUCUAUCAUGACUAGAAGGUUAAAUGACUUCACCCUUUAGCAACCAUAUGGCAAAUAGUACCCAAAUACUAAAAAGUGCAUCUGCACUAUUUGGAUGGAACGAGCGCAUCCUCACGCGGAAAUGUGCAGCAAAUCAUUUCACUUUAUUACGUUUUUUUAAAAAUACUAUAACUUUUGAACGGAGCCUCAGAACGACAAUCCGUUUUCACGGUUGUGCUUCUUACGACGAGCUCUUCAAAACUAGAUCCCAUAUGGAUAGGUUUCAACAAACUUUUUUUUGAGCAACUGUGGGGUGAUAUUUAGGAAACUUUAGUGCUAAAGAAAAGCAUCUUAUUAGUGUGCGUAGUAUGAUCGGCUAACAAUAAAAAUUCCUUCAAAAUUAUCUAUCAUGGCUAGAAGGUUAAAUAACUUCACCUUUAGCAACCGCAUGGCAAAUGUGGUCAGCUAUUUCCGAACUGAAAUGGUUAUAUUGUGCGUCGGAUGUGCAUGCUCGGGUCCGCAUGCGUUGGAUGUCCACUAUUCCUGUAUGAAAAAAAUUCAAAAAGCUAUAACUAUCAAACUGUGUGUUGAAAUUAUGCUAUGUUUGCAUCAUUGGGUUUCCCGUGACGAUCUCUUUAAAACAGGAUCUCAUAUGAAUAUGUUUUGAAGAAUUUUUUCCAAAAGCAACUUCGAUGCUAUAUGAGGCAACUUUCGUGCUAAACAAAAGGAACUUUGAUGCUAGAUGAAUUGCAUCGUGUGUAUAUACAUCAGUUGCUUGUUGAAUGCACUGGAGUUGCGCAAAACACACACUAAAAGUUGCUAACUUUUUUGUGAUACUCGAGUGCAAUUAUGGCAACUAUACAUAAAUAGCAGGCAACUAAGCAUUAAUGACACGCAACUGAACAUCAAACGUAGGCAAUUGACCAUCAGUAAUAGGCAACUAAGCAUCAAAAUUGAGCAAUUUCAUAUUAUAUUUGUAGGCAACAGAGCAUCAAAAUUGAGCAAUUGCACAAUAUUUGUAGGCAACUGAGCAUCGAUCACAGGCAACUGAUCAUCAUUAUUUAAUUAUGAAAACUUUUAUAGAUGAAUAUAGUCAACUGUUAGUCGUGGUAAGCAACUUAGAAGAUUUCUUCGCUGAUAGAUAGUCAUACUAAUGGGGAAAUAAGUUGUUUGCCUAUAUCACUAAAGUUGCCUCAUCUAGCGCAUAAAGUUUCUCAAAGGAAAAGUUCACGGAAACCUAUCCAUAUGGGAUCUAGUUUUGAAGAACUCGUCGUAAGAAACACAUCCAUGAAAACGGAUCGUCAUUCUGACGCUCGGUUCAGAACUCAUGAUUUUUUGAAUUUUUUGAAACGCUAAUAAAUGCACGUGGUUGGUUGUCCUCAGGUGCGCCCGCUACCGCGAGCGGGCGCUGCUGCGCUCAGUAGCCACGACCUUAAUAGUGAUGCCUAGCACGAGCGUACACUUCGGUGGCGUUUGGUUUGCGGACGAGUUAGGUAGGUUGACGGUAUCCUCAACCACGUGGUUAGGGAUAGCCACAUUUUCUUGUUUGGUUGGCUGGAGCUGAGUAGGCUGGAUAGCCAUUUUUUGUUGUUUGGAAGUAAGAAUAAAAACUGAUCAGGCGGAGGAAAAAAAUCUCCCUUGCCCCCGUGCCACCCUUACCCCCGCGGGCGACACGGACGACGGCACCAGAUCCACCACCUCGCACGUCCCCGUGCCCUUCCCCCGCCUUCACCGCCGGCCGAUGCUGCCAAGGGCAAAGCCCCUUGCGGUGGCUAGUGGCGGGGCAACUUCUCCCUCCCCUUGGUGCAGCUGGUGCGGGGUAUAGCCAGUCUGGGCUGGAGGCGUCGGGUUGGCGCGGGGCCCGACAGCGUGAUGGCGGCAGUUUCGGACGGCGACAGGUGAGCGGUUGCGGCGCAACGACGAUAGGGCGGCGGCUCGGGGAGAGAAGCCCGCCGCCGCCGGCUGCCGCACGGGCUUUGCGCGGCGAAGAACCCCGACGGCGACGAGAGGGGAGGAAUGUGAGAAGAAAAGAAAAUGUUUCGUUUCCUCGGGAGGUCACCGAGCGUGGGUGGCUGCCACCAUCCGCGAUUAUUUCACGGCUCCCCCUAGCCAGCUUUUGAAGGGAUAUUCCUAGGUAUCUCGUUAUCUUCAUCCUUCUUCACCAUCAAACCAAACGAGUGGCAUCUCUUCUAGAAUUGGCUAUCCCUAUCCACUGGUUGGUUAUCCCUCAAACCAAACACCACCUUGGUUUCGCACUAAGCAGAGUAUGAUUUCUCCCGAUCAACUCCUAUGUCAGGGUCGCCUGCAGCGAACCGUACCAGGCCGGCUUAGUAACCAUGUGUCGUCGUCAUGUCGAUGCCGUGCUCACAUCAUGAUCAAGCCCACCUAAAACAUAUAAAAGCUUCCUUUUUUCAAAGGUAGAAACAGGAACCUGUAGGCACUACUGUGUCUAGCCAGCCAUGGAUAUGCAUCACUNNNNNNNNNNNNNNNNNNNNNNNNNNNNNNNNNNNNNNNNNNNNNNNNNNNNNNNNNNNNNNNNNNNNNNNNNNNNNNNNNNNNNNNNNNNNNNNNNNNNNNNNNNNNNNNNNNNNNNNNNNNNNNNNNNNNNNNNNNNNNNNNNNNNNNNNNNNNNNNNNNNNCCCCCCCCCCCCCCCACCCCAUCCCCAAACGAUUGUGUCAACUUGCUGCUUGUUAAAUUGGCUAUUGUCUUUGCUGUUUGUUAUAUCCUUUGUUUUGCCUUGGGCAUGUUUUUAAUCGAGUUGAACGCAUCUGCCAUUGGAGAGGCCGCAAGCCUUCCCUCUUUCCGGAAAAACUAUGUUACAUAUUAUCCUUAGGAAGAUAACAAAAUUAGUAUAAACAAUCUCUUUUGAAAAGGAGGAUAUCACCCGGCCUCUGCAGCAAAAUGAUGCGUGCAUCAUAUUAUUAAUCAAAUGAUCAAACAAUCUCCGUGGUCUAGUAUAAACUUUGUCUGAGGUAAAAUGAAAACAUAAAGACGUAAAAUGCCACACCGGUAAAAAUAGGACUAAACACCUAGCCUAUUAGUGGAUAUUCAAAUGGAAAAAGUCAGAAUGACAACCAAAUUCUGCAAAAUGGUACAUGUAGAUCUGAAUUCUACAAAAUGAUACUUGUAUAUUUGAGUUCUGCCGUGGGACGCUUGCCAAUUCAUCCNNNNNNNNNNNNNNNNNNNNNNNNNNNNNNNNNNNNNNNNNNNNNNNNNNNNNNNNNNNNNNNNNNNNNNNNNNNNNNNNNNNNNNNNNNNNNNNNNNNNNNNNNNNNNNNNNNNNNNNNNNNNNNNNNNNNNNNNNNNNNNNNNNNNNNNUCAUCCAUUAGCUAGACUAGCAAAAGAGCCCGUGCGUUGCAAUGGAAGAGAAAAUAACACAUGCUCUGAAUGCAAUAUAUUUUUACAUGACAUCACAUUUCUGUUGCCGACGAUGGCCUUAUUGCUCACACAACGAGAACGCGUUUGAAUGUACAGUCAUUCGGAAUAAGAUGACAAAUAUGUUGUUUCUCCUUACGAGAUUUUCCAAAGGCAUCCAAAAAUUCAUAGGGAAACCAUAUUUAGAGUAGGAGUGGUUGUCGUUAUGGAUAAUUUGUUUUAGGUAAAAUGUGGAUUGAUUAAAAUGAGUUCCUCCGUGCGAGCGUNNNNNNNNNNNNNNNNNNNNNNNNNNNNNNNNNNNNNNNNNNNNNNNNNNNNNNNNNNNNNNNNNNNNNNNNNNNNNNNNNNNNNNNNNNNNNNNNNNNNNNNNNNNNNNNNNNNNNNNNNNNNNNNNNNNNNNNNNNNNNNNNNNCGUGCCCUCUUGGCGGGCUCGUCGGUGAUGUUCCGACUGAGGAACUGCGUCCAAACUCUAGCUUUCCGCCGUCAGCGCUCAUCGCUAACUUCACCAACAGAUUUGAUGCGUACCACCUGCUUGACAAGGUGUUUUGGUGUGGGUGUGAAUUCAUCGCAUUCGCAACCUUCAACAUCUUCACGAAUCUCGAUAGAAUCUUCUCCACCCGCAACAUCAUCUACAACCUUCCCUACUACCUCAGAAGAACGGCAUGGAGCAGGUGUAGUGAAGAGGAGGCGCAGUGAAGAUCCUGAAGAUGGUGGUAAAUGCUAUGUACGGUCUCGUGAAGCUUGUCUUGCCCUCGGGUUUUAGGGCUUUAUGUUGAAAAGAAGANNNNNNNNNNNNNNNNNNNNNNNNNNNNNNNNNNNNNNNNNNNNNNNNNNNNNNNNNNNNNNNNNNNNNNNNNNNNNNNNNNNNNNNNNNNNNNNNNNNNNNNNNNNNNNNNNNNNNNNNNNNNNNNNNNNNNNNNNNNNNNNNNNNNNNNNNNNNNNNNNNNNNNNNNNNNNNNNNNNNNNNNNNNNNNNNNNNNUUUGAAUUAUUGGUGGCCAUAUAUAUUUUAUGAACAGAAUGAAGCUAAUUUUUCAAUGUUUUGGGACACGCGGCUAAUGGACUAGUUGAGGUGUCAAAAAGGACACGAAACCUAGAAAAAUGAGCCAUGUUGAUGUUGAAAAGAAGAUGAAAAAGAAGCUAAAUUCUUUGAAUUAUUGGUGGCCAUAUAUAUUUUAUGAAUAACAAGAAGCUAAUUUUUGAAUAGUUUGUCUUCAUUUUGCAUGAUGAAACUAAUUUUUGAAGGGUAGACCAUUUUUUACUUCUUGACGGCCAUAAAGCUAAUUGUUGACUUGUUGAUGGCAAUAUCAAUCGUUCUGUAAUUUCGAACGAUGUGACCUAUUUUUGUAAUCAACGUGCACUCAAUCUCUGUAGGUGCAAUCAAAUCAAUGAGCAAAAAAAAAAAACAGAACCAGCGCGUGCACUAUUUCUCUAAGCCUCUUUUAUCAUUUUGAGCCUUCGAUAGGCAAUGCCAUGCGACGGCCCAACCAGAGAGCUUGGAUUCAUUUCCUGACCAAGAACUCUUUAUUUUUUUUGUUCUUGAUGUUGUUUGACGAAACCGACGAAACUGAAAGUGUCAAAAACUAACACCUACAGAGAUUCAGAGAUGGAGUUAGAGACGUAGUUUAAGCAACACACGGAACACAUGAUCCAAAAAUUAAGCUUACACCACACUAAUGACAUCUCUAACGAGUGAUGACCAGUAAGUAAGCAAAUCCCAGAGAAACUAUACAAAAAUAAAAUCCUAAAGCUAUCAGAUUCGCCUGCUUGUUCAAUUCAAUCAAGUUCUUGUUCAUCUUCUUUAAUUCUCCCUCAAUAUCCGCAUCCACAAAUGUCGCAGCAGCACUUUCAAAGACCAAAUUCCAGAUGGCGGGUGGCAGAUUGAGCUCCCGGGUUGCAGCCCCAUUGAAUUGAAUCAAGCCCUCCCCUUGAAGCCUUAGAACGUAGUCAUCCAGCCAUUCAAAAUGUGUGCAUUUCUUCACGAUCUGGAACAAAAUCAUGAACCCUAACCCAGAUCCAAUGAAUAGGAGUUAAAAGCAAAGAGAAAAAUCAUGAAAUCUAACCUACCCCUCUGGCUUGCUCUCGCAUUUCACAAAUUCGCACCCAAAGUUGUCGUUCUUGUCCUCCUUCGAAGUAAACCGUUUUAGCGGCGCGAUGCAUGGGCAGUCAAGACAUGGCUACAUGGGCAGUAGAUCAUAGUGGGGCCACGGGGGGGGGGAGGCUGAGGUGGAGCUCGACAUGGUGGGUGGGGCCACGGGCGGGAGGCUGAAAUGGGAGGCAAUGCCGCAAUGGUGGUCGAGUAGAACAAACAUCUCUCCGUCUCACGGAUCGCCCCAGAGAUCCAACAAUGCGGAGCCGUCCAUGUGAUCCAACGGUGCGCAGCCUGCCCUCGGAAUUCCAUCUAAAAGACCAUAUCUGAGGGCUGUCACUUGGCACUAGGGAUUGAACGGACCGCGGCAGUUCGAUGCUAGGGUUUGGACAGAUGCUGCGGGGUUUUGAGCCAGUCAGCGGGAUUGUCUUAGGCUUGACCAACUUUCAAAUGAACUUAACAAAUUAGAAAAAACAAACCUUUGCUGUUAGUUGUUUUUAAGACAUUGUUAUCAUAUAAAAAUAUAAACUUGGUUUAGGGAAUUUUCUAUGAAAAAUAAUUUUUUUAGGUGAGCUACCAUUUCCAUGUAAAAAUGAGCAUAACUAAUUCAAAAAAAUAAAAAAAAAUAUGAAACUUGCACCACUCAUCGUUUUAUGUGACUGAGUUGCUUGGAAAAAUAAGAAACUUGGUCUAGAGGUAUUUUCAUGAAAAAACCUUCACAAAACAUAGCUAUCAUGAACAAGGUUGCAUGGGAUUCAAGCUAGGGUUUAGGGGUAGGCAUGUCAUAGUUUUUAAAAUGAUCUCAUAUUGGGCAUGGACCCUAUUUGCACAUUAGGUGUCAAGUUUUGAUUUUUGCCUCAUUUAGAAAAGGUCGGAAAUUUUCUCUUAGAAAAUGGGGUCUUUAGCCUAGCUCGGAGCUCAUUUGAAGCAUAUUUUGCAUGACUAGUGUUUUACGUCAACAAUAAGUGUUCGGAUUGAUCACUUAACAUGUUUCUAACAUGUGUAAUAAUUCAAAAUCAUUGCAACAUUACAUCACAUUCCAUCAUAAUUCAAAAUUAUUGCGAAAGGUUGGUUCAAAUUCAAGUUUUGCCUCCAAUUUUGAAUUUGACCGCAAAUUUCACAUCAAAGUACAAAUAGCAUUAUUAAACCUUACAAGUUUUCCGAGUACAAAUAGAAUUAUUUGACCCCAAAUAGCAUUACAACUUGCAUUCAAUGUUCAAAGUUCACAUCUUUGCCUUGCUCCUUGUGUUCCAAGACGGCUUAAGAGCCUUGCUCCUCGUUUCCCUUGCUGGAAUUUCCACAUUUUUCUUCUUCCUUUUGAUCUUCACUUUGGGUGAUAGCUGAACCAAAGUUUGUUUGUAUCUUGGGCUUUUGUCUCCUUUCCUCAAAUUUUCCUAGAGCUAGCUAGGUCAAACAGAACAAAAAUUAUAAGGCAUCGAUAAAAAGAGAAGAAUUGCAUAAAAAGGGAAGGUUGUUGCAGACAUACCAAGCUGUCGGCAGUGCUAAUUCAGUUGUUGCAUUCUCCUGUGCUUUAACGAGAAUCUUCUCUAAUGCCGGAUUCUCCUCUGCCUUUAUUCGUAACCAUUGUUCCUCUUCUCUAAAUGAAGCUUCCACUAGAUUGGUACAUAGCCUAGCAAUGUGCCCUCGGGUUCCACAUUUCUUGCACUUACACUGUCUUUUUACACGACCCUCUACACAUAUUUUGUACAUGUACUUCCUUGGUCUUCCUGGUGGUCUAGUGAGUAUAGGAGAAUGUAGUCUGAACCCAAAAUCUACUAUGUUCCAUUGGUCUUUUCCCAAGAGCGCGGUCAAAUUGGAAGCAUAAACGGCCCUCAACUGUGCAACAGAAAAGUCUUCAGAGAAGUAUUGAUCAACUCGUGUGUUGCCGCUCGAAUGCACUUCAUUCUGUUUAGUCCUCUUUCCUUGGCAUGCAAUGCCUUAAUAAGAGAUGGGAGCAUAAGAUGGCCAACAUAUUCUGUUUCUGCAAUUCUUUUGCGAAGAGACUUCUUUAUCAUGAUCAUCUGCCGAAUCUUAUGGAAUAUUUGCCAUGUCAGAAGCCCUUUAGAUAACUUGAUAUUUGCAUUGAAACACUCAGCCGGGUUACUGGUCACAUAAUCUACUUUGCAGAUUUCAUUGAAUUUGCUUCUUGACCACAACUUUCCAUGAUGUGCAUCAAGGUACUCCUUCACUAUAGGAUUGCGAGCAUACAAUAGUCUCAAAUGAUGCUCAUGCUUCCUCUCACUGCAUGUGUAUGAUGCUGGCCAUAAGUUUUCAUCAUAAACUUUACCUUCGAAUUUGUUUCUGCAUAUGUGCGCUAGGUGUCGCAUACAUUCCCUAUCCGCCACUCCAGGAAUACAAUUUCCACUGCACUCUCCAAACCCUUGCAAGCAUCUAUGUGUAUAGCUAAACCUGGGGGUGUGCCUAUAAAGUUGCACAACUGCUGUAGAAACCACACCCAACUUUCCUCGCACUCUGCCUCCACCACACCAAGUGCAACUGGGAAUAGCCAGCUGUGUCCAUCAACUGUAGAAGCUGCUGAUAGUUGUCCUCUCCACCUUCCAUCUAGAGCAGUUGCAUCAACAGCCAAAUAGGGCAUGCAACCAUCCAAAAACCUCUGCCAACAAGCCUUGAAACAAACAAAACCCUCCUAAAGCAUUCCUUCUCAAAUGACUUCCCUUUUAUGUUGUAUGGAGCUGUAUGCUUCUUAAUCUCUACAACACUCCCUGGACUAGCAACUUCCACUUCAGCUUUAAAUGUAUAGAGCAACUGAAAGCUCUGGUUCCAAGGACCAUUAACAAUGUCAAGAGUUAUUUCCUUAGCAUAGAAAAUCCUCAUGUAAGGUAUAUCAAUAUUGUACUUCUCAAAUAGCUUCCCAUGGAGUGUUGUUGCACCAAACGUUGGUGUUUCUCUCAACCAAUCCAAAAUUUCAUCUGCCACCCACCUAGAAUUUGCUAGCUUUGUUUUAGCCUUCCCCCUCCCCCUCUAGGUGGAGAACUGUGCUGCUAUGGGUUAUUUUUUAUCUAAAACAAAAUAUAAAAGGAAAUACAUUUAAGAAAACAUUACACAAUGAUCUGAAAAUAGCAUGAACAAGUAUAAACUGAAAUACAAAAACCGGAAUGAACUUGCUCCUCAACAUAUGUGAUGCAUGCAACCUCCAUCUACACCUAUCGUAUGGGCAAUGAACAUCGAACCUAGCUUGUUGGCUCAAUCCUAUCCAUCACAUAUGUAUUUUGAGUGAGAAUGCAGUAUGUUGUCACAACAUUACGACAGUCCACCAUCGACUGGAAUAUGGUGCCGACGGCAAGCUGAGGAUCUUCCCUGUUCUACUCAAUUGUUGGCAUGUCCUCACCAUCAUAUUCAUCUAAAACUAAGAUGUCGAUGUUCUCCUCCCUCUCUUCAUUGUUAGUGUCAUCAAAUCGAGCAUGGCUCAUAAGUUGCUCCUGAUAUUCAUCUUCCAUUGCUUGUUUACUGACAGUAUCUACAAGAUCAAGGAACAUAUUCUCAUCCCAUCGUCAUGUGGAGGCACCUCUUAUCUGGCUCUGCAUCUUGUUCUACAUCGGCUGCAGCAACGAUGGGAGAAGCGGCACAAGAAGCGGCAUCAGACAUAUUACUUCCAGAACCACUAGCUCUGUUCGGCAGAGACAAAAUAUGCCUCAACACUCUUCCCCUUUCCAUGUUCACUGCAUGGCUGAAGCACCUCGAUACUGAUUUUAUCGAUGCGGGUUUCAGCAUUAAAAGCAAAGAACAAUCCGAGAUGCUCAUCGCACGUUAGUGGGAGAAAUUUUUGCUCGGUACUGCUGAAAAAUUUCAGUUCAACAGCAUCGUCAUGGCUCCACCCAUAUGACGAAUUUCGGACGCCAUGAGCAAAUCUUUGAAUGACAUACUGGUUUCUAGCACCUUUAGAUAGAAAAAUCCAGUAAUCAUAUGCGGUUUUCUACCGUGCAACACACUAAUUUCCAUACUAAUCGCCAGCUGGAAAGCAAGCACAGGAUCAAUCCUAUUCAAGUCAAAUAAGGGUUGCAGUUAGGCUAGGAACAAUUCAGCAAAAUUUGAACUAUUCACGCGACUAGCGGUCAACUAGGGCCUAAUUUACGAAUCAGCAAAUCAAUUAGAGGGGAAGCGACUCUUACCUAGGUGUAAUCCAUGAAUUAUCCGCCACCAAUUUGACCCAAACCUCUGCAAGGUCAAGGGGCCUGAGAGCUUGCUCCCCUGACAUUGCUGCUCAAUCCAGAUGAGGAUGUGGGGGUAGAUCUAGCGGAGAGAACGACGACGGCGGAGUCUGCACGACAUCGACGGGGGGAAUAGGGUUAAAGGGUGGAGGGCACGAUGACGACGGAGGCAACACGAUGGCGGUGGAGGGGCAGAGCAUCACGGUGUUGUAGUGGCUCGAGCUCGAGGUUCAGACAAGUUGAUUUCUCAUGUCUCAAUGCGGCCCCACACAUCACAACGGUCAAAGGAAGACCUAUUACGACGCGACCCCACUAGUCAGAGUUAACGGUCAAUCCAUUGACUCGAGGACAUACUCCACAGUGACCAUUUAUGAGGAUUUUGGACAAGGGAGUGGGGAAAAUUGAGCAAACCUUAAGAAUGUGGGGAUGAAUGAGUACAACUAAGAAAUCAGGGGUGUAGAUGUAAAAAAACUGACAUUUUAGCACAUGACGUGCCCAAAUUUUUUAUCCAUCCAUACACUUUAAUAUUGGUUGAUGUUAAAUAUAUUCCAUAAUUGGUAGCCUUUAUUUAUUCAUCCCUUAUCCGUAUAGAAUAUUCACAUGUGUAAUUAUUAGAAGUGCUCCAACUAUAUAGAACUUUAAAGGAGUGUCUAAAAUAUUGCCAAAUGUUGUUUAAUUUAUGUUUCUCAAUAUUUUUGACACUUAAUGUUUUUAUUUUUUUAGCACAAGUUAUGUCAAAAAAAAAAGUGUCCAUCCAUACUAUUUAACAAUGGUUGAUGUUGAAUAUAUUUACAUAAUUUGUAGCAUUUUGGUAUAUUCAUCUUUUAUCCAUAUGAAGUAUUCAGGAUCAAAGUCAUAUUUAUUUGGAGUGCACCAACUAUGCAGGGCUUCAAAAGAGAGAAACAUAUCAUGAAACGUCGAUGAAUUACCGUUUCGUAGCAUUUCUCACACUCAAUGUUUUUAUUUUGUGGCAUAAGUCAGGCCCAAUUUUUUUGUCCAUCCACAAGUUUUACUGCUUAUUUCAAACUUUGUCUUAUUGAACUAUUUCAUAAUAUGAAUGUGGGCAAUGAAAGAAGCAUGCCACUGGUGUGGUGACACGAGGUUACGUGCAUGUAAUAAGGUUGACCUCACUUGUAAUAAAGGGAUGUGUAGAUCUUCACAACGACUUUAUGGAAUGGGCAAUAUGUUUCAUUCAAUUUAUGUUACAGAUUCUCGUUUCGUAAUGUUGCGCCUAUAAUUGUCUAUUAUUUAUUUUUAUUUACCAUGCUCAGCGUAUCUCUUGUCAGGGAAGGGACGACUUCAUGUGUGUGGCCAACUUUCCCAUCGAUGUGGACGGCACAGUUCAGUUUGUUAUGAUGUUCUUAAAAAUGGCAUACCCUUGACCCUCACAAUCACCAACGAGGAAGAGAGAACAUAUUUUCGUGGUCCAAAUUUGGCUCGAAUUGCCACGGAGUUAAGGAUGCAAACUGAGAAGGCAUUUAGCAACCACACACCAUCUCCAACAAUCACCAUAAUACGUAUAGUUUUUGUGGUGAUCCAAGUGUCGUAUAUAUAUGCACUCUUUAUGAUACUAGCUAGCACUUGAUUGAACAUAUAUUGGUUGUAUGCACUUAUCAUAUUGUCAUGUGUAGGUGCUAAACAACAGAGAGUUGUUGAAGUAAUAUAUGUAAUCGAACUUUGCUUUUUAUUUUUUUAUGCUACUAAUAUUCUUGCUAAACUAAAUUUUUUUGCAACGGCACAUAACAGUGCUGCCACAACAAUUUUUUUUAGCUGACAUAAUACAACUAUGGCGGGCUUCACCUCACCCUCCACAGGUAUGAAUCUAUCUAUGUUGGUAUUACUCAUAAAUGGACUCUAAGCAUGCUACUAAUGUUUAGAAAUAUAAUUAAGCUAUAAAAUUGGCCAUGUGUGUCUUCACAACAUUUUUUUGUUAUAAAAUAGGGUGCACCUUUAUGUGAACACUCAAGAAAAAAUAAAGACACACAACGAGUGAAAAAUAUAUCUUAUUAAUUUGUUCCCCUGUCUUGCUUGGUUCAGAGUUUUAAGAACACAUGCCAUUACCUUAUGAUAUUGUUUUCUACCUUAUUUUUGUUUUUUAUUUACUUACUAAGGAUGCUAAUUAAGUAUUAGUGCAGUAUUACGUUAUGAAAGAAAAGAGAAGAAAUGAUCUAACAGAAUCAAAGAAACGACAAGGGUGUUCAUGCUAUAUGUCUGAAUUGACAAAUAUUCUAAUUGUCUGAAUGGUUAUAUAUUGCUGAUAUUAUGUCUGAAUGGUUGUAUACUGCGGACAUAAUGAUUUCUUAGGUAUGUUAUUGCUCUUUUAGUGACAACUUAUUAUCUUUGCCAUGUUCAUUGUGACGAUGCAUGCCACUUGAGAUACAACAAAUACAAAAGCAAUGUCAUGUACUACACUUUGGGCUUGAAUUGAUCUGACUAGAACAUUUAUGAGUGAGCUAAUGUAUUGAGGGAGGGUAUCAUAAUUGCAGAUCACAAAUGCGCAUAUUCUUCUUUCAUUUCAGUAUUGAAAUGUACGCAUGAAAGCAUUCAUCACAUGGUUGUUGCAUCAUAUUGUAUAAAAUGGUAAGGAAAUGUAUGUGAUAGCGUUCCUAUUUAAGUAUGAUAGGAGACAUAGAAAUAACCCUCUACAAGGCCAUCCUGCAUACCUGAGACCAAGAAAGGAGUAAAUCUUAGUCGUUGUUAGGUUCAUACUAGCAUAUACACAUAUGCAGUGCACUCAAUUUUCAUACUUAGUUAGAACGGUCUUUGAUAUGCUAGGUUUAUACCAACAUACAUCACAUGUGUAUGCAAUGAACACAUGUAUUGCACUUAGUUGGAAAUUGCUUUUGCAAUGAAGCCGAAAGCCAAAGUCAUCUUGGGACUUGGAAACAUCAGGAUAUUCGAGAGCCCUCCCUGGACAUUUGCAGGAAGGCACAAUUGGCAUGUUCGUUAGCUUGAGUAGGACUCUUCAUCAGACUACUGCUCUUGACCGAGGAACAUCGAUUAUGCUAGUACAGAACAUCACCAUAUGUGUUCUGCCAAUGUCCUCGGUGGUCCAUGUUGGUAGGGCCGCUGUAUUUCACUUGGAUGAAAGUGAGCUAAUCAAAAGAUACUGGCUUAACAUAUGAGUGUUUAUCGACUGAAACGAACUCAAGUGUGAUUUCAAAGCACCCGAGAAACAUUUACUCAAUAAAAAUGACAUUUUUGAUAGCACACAAAUCUAGGAAAAAGGGUAUAUUUCUUGAAGUUGGAGGCUACAACAGUUACUUAAAGUGAGGUUUAUCCAAAAUUGUUUGAGAGAUCUUAGUAAAGAAACAAUUGAUUAGAUACUUUGUCCUCUAACCCUGGCACAAUUUCCAGGUGCCAAAGAGACAAUUUAUUUUUUCAUGUAGAGACCGAAGCACAAUUAGCAGUUGACACGAUAAUAGUCUAAGUUUUAUAAAACCAUCAUAGCUUUAUUCAUCACCAGGUCGUUGUUGUAUAGUAAAUAUUGCUAUCUAUCGUAUGGGUGAGUUGGGUUUGAUCACCCGGGACCGCUAUUUUUUUAGCAUACAUGACAUGUAUUUAUUUUCGCAAAAAAAUCAAUGCAUUUUAGCAAAUAAGUCCCCUCUUUCCAUUUCCUCCAAACAUUUUCAUGUCGUUUUUUCAUAUUCAUGGACAAAAAACUACCUAAUCAUUGGCAUUAUUAUUAAAAAUUCAUAACUCUUAGUUAGUGACCAUCACUCCUGCCCCUAUUCCUCCGAGUUGCCACAUUCCCACCAAUAGUAGUACCAUAUGAGUCACUUCAACCAGCAUUAUUAUUAAUGAUUCUGGCCGUUAGGCUGCUUCUGUCUGAGUUAUGUACACCCAAGUGAUGAUACCCCUUCUACAUUCGGGUACCUUGUCCGAUGUAACAAACCCCCAUCAUGGACGAUGAUACUUCAAUACUUGACGAAUGUGAGCUUCGGAUUCCAUAGACUUUUGCUGGGUUUUAGGUCGACAUGGACCUACAUAAUGGGAGAUAACCUCGUCCACCAAGGAGCUUUGCACUACGUCGGUUUUCGACCUGAUAGGCCGGCUCAAGCCCCGGGUCGUCCUAUGAUCAGUGGAGGACUAUACCUCCAGCGACGUAGCUUUCUUAGUUUUGUAAGAUUAGGACCCCCGGUAUGUUAUAUAAGCUGUGGGUUGGGUUCAUCGUAGUUGUCAUACAAUCUCUCUAUCCUUUACCUAUACUUUGUACACACUCCUACACAUGGGCGGAGUCAGGCCGGCAAUAGGCCCCGGGCCGCCUUCGAGCAUUUUCCUGAAUUUGGGCCUCACAUCCGAGGUGGUUCCUACAGUCAUCAAAGGAUUGGGCCUCAAACCACAGGCGCAGGUCCUGUCUCCGCCCCUGGUCCUACGUAAUACACACAAGCAGGAAGUAUGGUAUUAUCUCCUCCGGAAAAGACGAACCUGAGUAAAAUGUUGCCCCCUGUUACUACCAUGCUAACUCGCCUAGUUAGUAUACCCUACCAAGAGAUCUGCCAGAUUUUGCUCUAAAAAUAUGAUUUCUUAGGUUUGUUUUGUUCUCAUAGUGAUGAUUUAUUAUAUUUACCGUGUUCAUAGUGAUGAUGCAUGCAAAUUGAGAUGGUGAAUGCAAGGGCAUUAUCAAAUUGUGGUCGUGUACCACACUUUGGGCUCGAACUGAUAUGAACAGAACAUGAGCCUCCUUUCUUUUUGCCCUAGAACAUGCACUUCAAGGAUUCAUUGUGGCACGAGUUUGGGCAUGGACCUCCGGGGCGCAAUGUACACCAUCGUCGGAGCUCUCUCCACAACACCUCUCUAGGUCCAUCCAAGCCCUGCCGUCCACAUGCCGACUUCAUCUUGGUGGAAUGGGUGGGGUAUGUUGGGCUAUGUUAUCGUUGUGUCUUGAUCUUGUUGUAGAGACCUCCGGCGUACACGGCUUGGUUGCUUUGUGGCUUGUCUCAUCGCCAUUGGCAUGGGGUUGGCUUUGGUGGAGCAUGUAUCAUAGUUUAUGUGGCGGGUGUGUUUGGUGGAUAUGGAUGUUAAACCUCGUGAUUGGCAUUGUAAUGAUUAAAAGGCGUUGUAUACGACUUAUUUGCCGUUUAUUCUUCAAAAAUGUAUUAUGAACAUGCUUAUAUACGUAUUCUAAAGAAAAAACAAUAGGUGGUGUAAUUUGUCACUCCAGCUGCCACUUUCGCAGCAGCAGUACUACUACUACCACGAGUCACUUGAUGCUACAUCCACAACUGAGCUUCCCUUGCAAGCUUGCACAAAUGAUAUCACCACCUAAACUAACCAUCGUGCAAGCCACAACCUUGGCUACCUAGCUAGCCUUUAAAUAAGCUAUAUAAUCACUAUGUUCGAUGUGUUUGAUUGGAUCACAACACAAGCCUCGCUCUCUGUUUCUCUGCGUAUGUGUCAUGCUUGUGACCAACUGACCACUGUUAGGGUCUACCCUAGCUCGUGCUAGCUCUACCUCUCGCUCCCACGGCACAUGUGGCUCGAACCAGCAGAAGGAAGGAGGAAGAUGGAGGUAGACGCGAUGAACACUAGGUUUUUCCCGGCGCACGAACGUCGCCGCCGCACGAACGGCUUCCUUUGUAUCUCGAGCACGAACUCGAUGCUAGUCUCACCCUGUUACAACGUUACCGUGCUGAUUUAUACCAGGACCAGCGACCGGGCACGCACCCAUGCUCCUGCUCCCUCGCGUCCACGAUCCGACCAACGCGCAGCUCACGGCGGGCCUCCAACAGAUGAGCUCCCCGCACAGCUCGCCAACUAACGCAAGCAGCCCCGCACACACCCGUGCUGACUCAUGCACGCACGCACUAAGCGGCCACAGCCACAUGACCCGGACAUAAGUCGGACUAAGCCCAUACACUAGUCAGACACUGCCCAUGCACUAGUCGGACAUUGCCCAGACUAUGGCCAGACAAUGGCGACCACCGCGCGCACACAUGCACACGCCGCGUCCUGGGCUCGCCGUGGCUUAUUUCCAACACACACACCCCUAAGCCACGGCUCAGAGGAGUGCAGGACCGUCAAGGUCGUCACCGGCGUUCGCCAGCAGUGCCUGCUCCGCCGCCGUUGCCUCCUUCUUCGGCCGGUUGCAGUCGCGCUUGAAAUGCCCCCUCUGUCCGUAGUUGUAGCAGCGACCUCGCCAUCCUCUCCCGCUGCCCGACGCCUCGCUCCUCUGGUCGUCGUCGUCGUCACGAGCACCGCCUCGCCGGCGCUCCCGCGCACGCCACUGCUGCAUGGUGAGCAUCAGCCGCUCUCCGCCACGCUCGCCGCCGUCCUGUCCACGACGCUGGACUCGCUCCUCGAACGCACGCAGCCGCCCGAGCGCCUCGUCGAACGCCAUGGUCACCGUGUCGUAGAACUGCUCGAUGCCGGCGACGACGGGGAAUAGGUGAUCCGGGACGGUGUCCAGAAGCUUCUUCACGAGCGCCUCGUCGUCCAGUUUCUCCCCGAGGUUCGCGUACCGCGCCGUCAUCCCCGCCAGCCUCCCGGCAUACACAUCCAGCGCCUCGCCGUCCGCCAAAUUCAGGCGAUCAAACUCUCCGCGCAGCGUCGCCAGCCUCGCCGCACGGACACGAUCGGCGCCGACGAACCUCACCUUCAAGGAGUCCCAUACCUUCUUGGCGGUGAGCUUCGUCGCCACCUGCAGCAGGACGUCCUCCGGCAAUGCUCCCAGGAGCAUCGCGCGCGCCGCCUUGUCCUUCCUCGCGUUCACCACCGCAUCGCCGGCGCCACCGCCUCCCACACGGUGUGGACGUCGAGGAUUGCCUGCGCCCUGAUGGCCCACACCGUGUAGUUUUCCGACGUGAGCAUCGGCAUCGGCAACGACACCGAACCGCCCGCGCCUCCACCGUGUGGCACCAUUGCCAUCGUCGCCGGCGAGCUCUCGAACCGAAGGCUCUGAUACCAAUUGUUAGGGUCUACCCUAGCUCGUGCUAGCUCUACCUCCCGCUCCCACAGCACCUGUGGCUCGAACCAGCAGAAGGAAGGAGGAAGAUGGAGGUAGACGCGAUGAACACUAGGUUUUUCCCGGCGCACGAACGCCGCCGCCGCACGAACGGCUUCCUUUGUAUCUCGAGCACGAACUCGAUGCUAGUCUCACCCUGUUACAACGUCACCAUGCUGAUUUAUACCAGGACCAGCGACCGGGCACGCACCCACGCUCCUGCUCCCUCAUGUCCACGAUCCGUCCGCCUCGCUCGCAGCAAUGACGCGCUCCAACGCGCAGCUCAUGGCAGGCCUCCAACAGAUCGUGCACGAGCUCCCCGCACAGCUCGCCAACUAACGCAAGCAGCCCCGCACACACCCGUGCUGACUCAUUCACGCAUGCACUAAGCGGCCACAACCACAUGACCUGGACAUAAGUCGGACUAAGCCCAUACACUAGUCAGACACUGCCCAUGCACCAGUCGGACAUUGCCCAGACUAUGGCCAGACAAUGGCGACCACCGCGCGCACACACGCGCACGCCGCGUCGUGGGCUCGCCGUGGCUUAUUUCCAACAACCACUAAAGUUGAAGAGUACAUCGAUGUCAUGCCACUGUUGUGUGGCUUUCCCAUGCUUCCCAACUAUGCCUUUGACCCCCAAUCCACAAACCAAUUAUGCGAAGUUGCUUCUUGCUAAAUUGGCUACAUGGCUACUGUCUUUGCGCUAAGCUGGCUGCAUGCCUAUUGUCUUUGUAUAUAAAUCAGGGCAAGGAAUAGGAUUUGGUCUGUAUAGGAUCAGAUUCUGAAGCCACAUUUCUCAUUGACCACGUGCAGCUUGAUGGAUUAUGCUGCAUUAUGUGACCUGCUGGUUGCAUCCGUGUUUGGCGUGCACGUUAGUAGUGCUGAGGUACCCGUGUAGCAGAUUGAGUUGAUCAAAUUCCGUCACCGGUGGAUGAUCUUCACUAGAGUCCAGUGAUCUAAGUCUAGCAAAAAAGUAACCCUGUGUUAACUACUGUUGGUUGAAGUUUCAACUCCUUAAUCCCCUGUACUCAAGAUUAAGCAAGUAGUUAGUAUUGUCAAUGAUCGAUAAUUUCAAGACUUAUGAAAUAGCUGAAGAUCUAAGACCAGUUUCAGUUUGAUACACUGUGGUUUGUUGGCAAUCUUUGGACAGCAGGUGAUAGCUUGUGCCAGUUUUUCAGGGUUGAGUUCCUUCCAUGUUAUUUUGCAAACAACUCCUGCUGCCAAUAGCACAUACAUGUUCUUAAAGAAACUGGUUAAUAAAAAGCAGUCAAUCUCAGCAGCAAAGUCAAACUGAUACAAUGCAACAUGGUCCGGUUUCUCCUAACUAGCUGAAUUAGAUAAAUACAACAAACUAAGAUAGACUAGUCGACAACCCGUGCAAUCGCACGGGCUAGUCUAUAAUUUACUUUUUUAUUUUGAAUUACAUAACAUACAUACAUCUUUAAAAAUAUAGAUGUGCAUGUUAGAGAAACUCCUCUCAUUAUUUUUUGUCAAAUUACUCUAUCUGCAACAGAAGUAAUAGUGUUUAUUAGAGGAAAAUGAUUUAUUUUUAAACUACACCAAACAUAAUUUCACAAUGAAGAUUUUUUUAAAAGCUCAUUAUAUCAUAUUAUUUAUGCCAGUACCAGUCAAUUCAAAAAUAUAUAUAUUUAAUUGGCUGAUUGAUAAUGUGUUUAUUUACCUACUUCUCCAUGUCCUCGAGCUUUGUUAUAAAUCUUGGGUGCUUAUAGCUUUCUGAUAUAUCCCUAUUUACACUACUAAGGUUUUGUUUUUUAGGAAGAAGGAACACGUGGACAAACUUUUGGAAUAAUAUGAUAGAGCAUUUUCUUUAUUCAAUUGAGCUCCUGUGACUUGGGACGAUUCAAUGGACACAUUGAAUAAAAUAUAGUUGUACCUUGUAUUAGUAUAUGAUUUUCAUGAAAAAAUUGUGCUUCACAUUUAAUUUGUCAACGCAAAAAAUUGGUCAUUUCCAAUCCUGGUCGUUACUCAUGAGUUUCUAUACCAUUUAUUUGUAUCAAUUCAAAUUUUGAAUAUACUAACAUGGAUAAAUAUGGAAAAAUUAUCAAAGAACACUACUACUAAAAUAUGUCUAGCAAAUUAGAUCACGCUUUGGCUAGAAAGAAUUCUACCCAUGUAGAUGAUAAAUGUCAAUCUAUCUUACACACAGAAAAAUCAUUUUUUUUGGUUGGCACAAAAAUCAUUCUGCCACAUGAGGUCAAGUGCAAAAGAAUACAUGUGGAAAUCCUACAGGACCAAAAGCAGAUUCUGUGAGAAAAACCAUGAAAAUUCACAAAGCAGGGAGCUAGUCAAAGAGCUAUAGAUAUUCAUAUCACACACAUGUUAGAACGCUUUAAAUUUGCCAAUCAUUUAACUUAAAAGAAAAUAUUAUUUAGUAUCAUCCAUAGCCGCUACUUAGAAAUAAUUGCACGGUGCAAAUUAUUUUUACAUAUCUUCAUUUUAGUAGAGGAGAUUUCUGCAAUCCUACAUUUAGUGUAGCGAGUACAUCCAUUAUUCACAAUAAGUGAAAGAUAAGCCUAUUUACUGGAUGUAUCUAAGUUCCAACACAACCAUUGGCUUACGACCAUAUAUUUCAUCAAUGAUGGCCAUGGCCUGAUAGAGAAAAUCCAAGUGACAUUUAAAUUUCAGUUAUUCCCUUAUUAACAUGAUAAUUCAAUUCAUUGAUUCUUACCAUACGUCAUGGUGAUCAGCAAAACAUUGUUGCUAAACUUUUAUAGUCCUAUAUGCCCUGCUAUGCAAUACCUUUCCUUCUACUACAGUGGCUCGUCAUUGCCACAACUAAUUAUGGAGCUUGUGUGUCGCUGGUUAUGGCAGCCUAUCAGAUUGGGGCCCAUUAGAUUGAGUUGCAUGUGAUAGUCAGUUCCGUCAGAAAAAGACAAUGAGGGUUUUCUGGUGAUCUGCCACUCGCCGUGGCCUGUCUGUAACAACGAGUCAUGACCAGCGUUUUGAUUUUCGGUUUGACAUUUUUUCGCCCUAGGCCGAGAUGGACGAAAUUCGGUCAUUUUUAAAUUUUUCGACCAAAAUUUGACUGAAAUUUGACCAAAAUUUGACUGAAAUUUGACCAAUUUCAGCGGAAAGAUAGAUCUCGCCCCAGGCCGAGAUGGCCGAAAUCCAUUUUUUUCGGCCUAGCACAACCUCCUCCUCGCUUAAAUUAAAAAAUAAGCUCAUUCCUCCCGUUGCUGGCGUACUCCUUUGCAGUACGAAGAAUGUCAAUCAUAUGCCAUAUUAUUCUGUCACGUGCAAACAAAUCAGGAACAGAAUAAGGAUAGUAUUAUUACGUUGGAGGCAUUAGGCCCAUCCGCUUCUUGCUGCAGGUACACCAAGCCUUCAUAUCUUCUCCAUCUUCUGAACCAUGCUGAUCCUCGCAGGAACUGAGUCAUGAAGAACAUGCGAGUGGCACCAUCCGGACGGAAAAGCUACUUGCCCACCUGUGAAAAACAACAUGGGACCCAAAUCAGAAUAAUUUCGAACCUAAUUAUGCUGUCACAUACAAACUACUUACUGCAAGAACAAAGUAAGAAUCCUAUUAUGUUGGUGGCAUUAGGCCAAUCGACUCCUUGCUGCAGGUACACCAAAUCUUCACGUCAAGACGCCAGAACGUGUGUGGGGUAUCAUAUAGACGGAGAAGGAUGGAGAGAAUACUGCUCCUCUUAGGAACUGGGGCAAGAACGUGCAGAGGGGCAUCAUAUGGACGGAGAAGGAUGGAGAAAACACAUCGCAAUUGUUGUCAGAUGAGAUGGCUGAGACGGAAUUGAUGAAAAACUGGAGGAGAAGCUUGAGCGAGAGAUUAGUUGUUAAUGGAAUAUCGCGAUGGCAAAAGUAUAGGCACCCGAAGGGUGAUCGUCUUCUUUUCCCUAAGCACCAGGAGAAUAUGUGGCGGCCACCAAUUAAUAAGAGGAGACGUGCGUGGGUCAGACCGGGUUCUGUUUAAGCAAAGAAAUUGGAACGUGGAGUAGAUAAAGAUUCUUUUCUUUUAAGAAGAAAGAAGAUAGAGAUCCGCGUCUGAAAAAAAAAGGUGGAGUUUUUUUUUUAAUUGGAUUGAUAAGGAAGGGAAGAAACGGUGGAGAACUAACAGGAUCGUGACAUUGGUGGAGUAUAUUUAGAACCGACAACUGAUUGUGGGCCUUUAAGAGUUUUUUCAGAAACAAACUAAAUUCAACCUCAGAAUUAUAUGGGUGCAUCUACACCGUAAUAAUUCGGUCCCGUCAGAUUAACGGUUAAUUUCUGUUUAUUAACGGUUUAUCUUUUGCUAGUAUUAAUAUUAAUCUAUCCCUAAUAAUAAAGCAGCUAUUGCUUCUGCCGUCCGUCAUAAAAUUACCCUCAAAGUUGCGAUAUAUUACAGCCAAUGCCACCUAUAAGUGGAAAACGACUCGGUUCAAAAGAUUGGUAGUUGCCCUUGGUUCAUAUAUAAGAAAGCCCGCGUGGAAUCACCAACGCUUGCACAGCGAAGUGGCGAGCAUUGCUCUUCCCCCACCGGGAGAGCUGUGUUCGAUCUCAGGUACCUCCCUAUUUAUCCUCUAUUGCUAGUAUUAAUAUUAAUAUUAAUAAAGCACUUAUUGCUUCUGUGGUACGUCAUUAAAAUUGACUUUAAAAUUGUCUAAUAUUACCCACCAAUGCCACAUAUAAAUUAUAAAAAACGUUCUGCAGGAAAUCCUCCCAUGAGCCGGCCAAAACAUAGAACCAGCUAUACUGCGCUCUUCUCGCUGGAAAAUAAACAGUACGCCCACUUGGGCCUGCCCAUGGGAGGGGGCCUGUUUUUUCAGUUUUUGUUUUUGAAUUAUUAUUUAUCUGUUCCUUUUUAAUUUUUCUAAUUCAAAUAAAUCAAGAAAAACUUUCACAACUCAAAAAAUUAUAUUUACAUAAAUUUUUGAUAAAACAUAAAAUGUUUGCGAAUUCAAAACUUGUUCGAGAUUUUUUGUAAAAAUGUUUGCAUAUUAAAAAAUCGUAAUUUUGGAGAAAACAUUCGUGAAUCAAAAAAGUCUAUCAUUUUGAGAAAUUUCUUUAAUGCAAUUAAAAAAUUCAUAAUUCAAAAAAUGAAUUAUUCACCAAUUCACAAGAAAAUACUUGAAAACAGUUCGUAAUAUAAACAGUAAUGCUUCUGAGGCUUUCUGAUUAUAUACCUGAGUGAAUUUUUAAGAAUUAAUUGUCGGGUGGAUCGAAAUAUUAUAGUAUAUUUUAAAAAUGUUUUUUGAAAUUCAGAAUAAUUCUUUGAGUUAUCAAGUUUUUCUACAACCAUGAUAUUUGAAAAAAAAUAUGAACAUUGUUUCAACUUGUGAAUUGUGAAUAAAAUUAAAAGAAGAAAUAUUUUCUUGCAUUUAUAAACAAAUUUUUAAAAUCAUGCGAUGAGAUAUGAACAUAAUGUGGUCAUCGCCAUUGAAGAUGGUGGUUUUUUUUCUCCCGUUGCAACGCACGGGCCCUUUUGCUAGUAAUUACUAAUUAACGUGAGAAUUUUUAGGGAGUCACAAAUUAGUAUAAGUAUAGAUUGCACAAGUUUUCGUGUCGCGGCUCUUGUCCGAUUUAUUGCUAUGGUAUUAUAGGACGGACACCAUAUGCAUUGAAAUAUGUCCUUGUGUACAUAACGGAUUUAUUUAUUUAUCUGAAACCGAAGGUAAUUGCAGAUAUAUAUUUUGGAUUAAAUAUAAUUCACAUAUGGUUUCUACUGGUACAUGAUGCCUUCACAUUGAGGUACCAAAAAAUUAUGUUUAUGUACCUGAUGACGUUAAUGAGAGAGCAAAUCGGUCGAUGGCCAGAGCAUAAAAUUCAACCAUAACAUAGUAUUUGUCAAACUCACUCAAAUUAUGACCAUAUCAUACUAAUGGAGCCAAUUGGGACACUGAACCUAUUGACUUGAGAAAGCCUUGGCCAAUAGUCCUAGCUUAGCAAUGGUUAAUACAACCCCGUCUUGCAAGUAAACUGCCAAGUUGAACUAUUCAUUACGUUGAUCAAUACCCAAAUUGUGAUUCUAGGUUAUUAAUACAACGUCUAGAAUAAGUGCGGAGAUCCAGGUGAUGUAGUACAAACUUGGACAUAAUCCUCACCAAACUGUAACGACUACAUGCCUAACAGUGACAUGCGAUAAGCAAUUGGAUCAGGAUAAGAUUUGCUCCCAUUUCUUUAUCAGAUUCUGUUUACUAACUAUACUCAUAGUUUUAAAUAGCCCGCUAUAGCCUUUUCAGCAGGGUGCCGCUAAAUGGUAUCAUGUACAAAUAUGCCGCUAUAGCCCACUAUAGCUGAUUUAGAGGCUCGCCGCUAUUUGCCGUAGUCCGCUAUUUAAAACAUUGACUAUACUAUAAUAUGUUAUUAUAAUCAGCGGAUGCAGCCUGGGGCAUGUCCCGGAAGAUCAUUAUGAAACCUGGAUUCUUAUUGAUUUGACAUUUUUUAAGCAAUGUAGUAUCAGUGGCGGAUCCAGGAAUGAAGCAAGCCCUUGGUACCAAAAAAAAAACCAUCACGAGAUAAAACCUUAACAGUAUCAGGCUAUAGUUACUUCAAAAGCAUACCUCAAAUAUGGCUCAAUUGCACCAAAAAUUUGGAAUUUAAACUCAAUGCCUAAAGAUACAACAAAAUAGAUAAAAAGAUGACAAACACUACGAACUGAUAAAAAACAGUACCAAAUCAAUGGCUUGCUUCAUUAGUGUCUGACUGUGUGUUCGUAGUUUUUCCACUGACUGGGAGGAAAUGCCUUGGGCCCUGACGGUGUGUUUGGCACUUGUGCUUAGCCCCGGGCCUAUUCAAAAUUAUACAUAGGUUACAAUUGAAAAACAAAUCCACACCCCGGGCCUGGGCCCUGGGGGCCUGGCGCCCAGAUCCGCCUCUACCCAUCAAAUUUUUUUUUAGAACAAGUCUCUUCCCCUAAAAAAUAAUUAGAACAAGUCUCUUCAUGCAUGUUAAGGUUGUAUUAGACUAAGUUAAGACCCUAAUUAAUCAAAAGACACCACAAGGUUGUGUGACUGUGUACACAUUUAAGCUUUACUUAUCCAUUCGAUCGUUGUUUUAUUCGUCAACUGGACAUCAUGUCAAGUUUGAAGGAUUAUAUUACUGACGAAAAUGCAUUAAAGGUGACAAAAAAACUUCCUUGGUCUGCCAUAUUAAAGCUUCAUAUGUGAUCCAGUAUUAUUAAUAGGUAUGUUGUAUGUUGCUCUCCGGAUGAUACCAAAAUUCAGCCAGAACGUAUCUUUCCAUAUUGUUCAUAUAUGUAGAUUUUUGUUAUGACUUGGAAUUGACUAAAUUAACUUCCCAAGCCAAAAGAUAAAAACUACGUACUUCAGCAAAUGUAGACAUUAUUAAUUAUCUCUGUGAAUGACGUACAUAACUGGGAAGUCCUUAUUUCAUUUUGCAACAUGGUUGCUUCCAGUGAUACAGAAUAAUGAUGCGCUGAAAAGGAUUACCUCCUUAUAUAAACACAUAGUCAUAUAAGAUGUCCAUAUCAGAAUUGUUCUCGAAAUGAGUUACUCUUCAGUCGAGGCAUCACGUCGUCGGGAAAGAAGAAUUGGCAAGAUGUAUGACGAGAUGUUUCCAUUGCAGUUUAAUUAAUUUCUCCCUCUGAUUAGCUCAAACAUACCUAAUUUAUAUGAACUAUUCACCAUUGUGUACGAGGGACGUGCCAUUGGCAAUUAAAAAGAAUCAGUAGUGUUAGGGUAUCGGGCCAUAUAUGGAUAUCCUACACUAACAUAGACAUCCUACAACCAUAUACUCCCUCCGUCCCAAAAUAAGUGUCUUAAGUUUAGUAGUACAAAUUUGUACUAAAUUUAGUAUAAAGUUGAGACAGUUAUUUUGAGACAGAGGGAGUAUAUUGAAGUCACUAUGCAAUGGCAUUCAAAUUCAUUAUGUCACUAUCCUAGUACUAUAAAUCAAAGUUGCAGAAAACGUUAUACUCGCGUCUUAAUUCUAGAUGCCUAGUAAAAUUCUACAGUGACAUGCUUGCCAAUUCAUCCAUUAGCUAGAGUGCUUGCAGAACCUAUCGGAAUGAAAGCUGAGCCUUUCUUCCUGUCACAUCUACUCACACGUUAUCAAACACACUGAAAUAUGCUAUGUACGUUCAGUUAUUGACAUGAGCACAUAAUGCCAUUGACCAAUGGAGACAUACUAGUUUUUCUUGUUGUCAGAAACCGGAGUUGGGGCCGGAUGCAUCUUUCUGAUGCGAGGUCGAAGCUUAUCCUUCUUUUCUAAAAAAAAUACCGAAGUUCAACAAGUUCAGUUCAGUUAUUGCAUCGGACCGAAUUUUCUACUUUAUUUUAGAACCAGAGGAAGCAAUUUAAGAAACCAGGUUUGCUGAAGGAAAAGUAUAUUUAAUGGACCAAUCAGCUAGUCUUGUCCAUGCAACAAUAUUAAUUGAAACUAGUUCAAUAAGCCCUCUGACAGUGACAGUUGUUGUGUCGUGAUGGCGAAGACGACAAAAAAACUGACAAGACCAUUGAUAUACGCAUAUCUCCAAUUUAGAGCAAAUUGUGAUUUUUUGUAUCCUUGGCUUGUUCAUACUGACUGAAGCCUGAAGGCUGCAAUAAGAUCAACAUGAAGCUUCUACAUAAGAGCAUGGGUGUGGGUGUUGAUCCACCCACCACAACCGAUUUGGUUAACGAUAAUUGGGUGACUGGUGAUGGUGACGUCACAUACUUUCAUAUCAGAGGGACAAUCUAUGAAUCUAUCUAUGUCUGUAUUAGUGUUACACUACAAUUAAGCAUCCUAAUUAAGUUACUGAAGAGAAGUUAAGUUGUAUAGUUAGUGGUUGUGUCUUGUCAAUCUUUUUUUGUUUUGUUUAGGCAUUCUGCAUAGUAUUUAGGAUGCACAUUUACACGUGGGCUCGAGAAAAAUAAAGGCAUUUAGGAAGUGAAAAAAGUGUCUUCUGAAUGCUUUGCCUUGCAGUUCAGAGUUUUGAAAACACAUGGCAUGUCUUAUCAGAGUAUUUUUUUACUAGUAUUUCAUUUUUUUAUUUAUUACUCAAUCUGUUAACAAAUAUAAGAUGUUUUGGAUAUUUCAAUAUAAACUACGUACGAACAGAAAUGAGUGAACAAACACACGAAAACAUAUCUAUAUACAUAUAAUUCAGAAUCGGAGGAGUACUGAAUAUGUAAAUUAAGUAUAUGUGCUUUAACGCGUUAAGAAAAGAGAAGACAUGACCUGACAGAACCAACAGGAUUGUUCAACUAUAUGAAUCAAUGGACAACCCAUUGAACUAACUACCAUCUCUUCUUUCCGGCAAAAAAAUCAAAACUACUACUCAUCUCUUUCUCGGAGACACGCAUACAUAUGGGAUUUUUGUGCCUGCAUUUGUCACCAAUGACAUACAGUAGCAAUCAAGGGUUGACAGGAAGCUUCCAACAAUCAAGGUGUGAUAGGUAUUAUAUCCACAAUUCAAACAUCAAAGUGCCCAAUUUUACAAGAACGUGUCUCCUCCGUAUGAUGUGAUAGAUCAAGAUGGUUGCAUGUUAGGUAAAAGUUUAACCANNNNNNNNNNNNNNNNNNNNNNNNNNNNNNNNNNNNNNNNNNNNNNNNNNNNNNNNNNNNNNNNNNNNNNNNNNNNNNNNNNNNNNNNNNNNNNNNNNNNNNNNNNNNNNNNNNNNNNNNNNNNNNNNNNNNNNNNNNNNNNNNNNNNNNNNNNNNNNNNNNNNNNNNNNNNNNNNNNNNNNNNNNNNNNNNNNNNCCCCCCAACCCCCCGCGUUAUGAUAUAAUUUAUUGUACUUAGAGUAAUGAAGUACUUUUCAUGCACUUCAACCAAACAACCACUGUGUACAACAAAUGUAAUUAUGUUUCUUAAGCAUGUAUAUAUACCUAUCAAAAGGGGCCCCACUGGAUAGGAGAAACUAAUCACUUUCAUGCAAUCANNNNNNNNNNNNNNNNNNNNNNNNNNNNNNNNNNNNNNNNNNNNNNNNNNNNNNNNNNNNNNNNNNNNNNNNNNNNNNNNNNNNNNNNNNNNNNNNNNNNNNNNNNNNNNNNNNNNNNNNNNNNNNNNNNNNNNNNNNNNNNNNNNNNNNNNNNNNNNNNNNNNNNNNNNNNNNNNNNNNNNNNNNNNNNNNNNNNNNNNNNNNNNNNNNNNNNNNNNNNNNNNNNNNNNNNNNNNNNNNNNNNNNNNNNNNNNNNNNNNNNNNNNNNNNNNNNNNNNNNNNNNNNNNNNNNNNNNNNNNNNNNNNNNNNNNNNNNNNNNNNNNNNNNNNNNNNNNNNNNNNNNNNNNNNNNNNNNNNNNNNNNNNNNNNNNNNNNNNNNNNNNNNNNNNNNNNNNNNUGAAAAGUUCAGAUGUAUCAUGCAUGAAUUGGUAAUUGGACGUGUGAGCCAAAAGGAUGCACGCACGCAUAGUGGGAUCCACGCAUGUCAACUCCAAGAUAGACACAUCUAAAAUUGCAUAGUUUGUAAGUUGCAUAUUGCAGACCUCGAGAUAUGAAAAGUGAAAAUGACAAUCAGUACAACCCCCCCCCCCCCCNNNNNNNNNNNNNNNNNNNNNNNNNNNNNNNNNNNNNNNNNNNNNNNNNNNNNNNNNNNNNNNNNNNNNNNNNNNNNNNNNNNNNNNNNNNNNNNNNNNNNNNNNNNNNNNNNNNNNNNNNNNNNNNNNNNNNNNNCCCCCCCCCCCCCCAAGGGAGACCUAAAUCCGCCGCCAAUGCUCAUUUUUCAUUUGCCUCCCCAUUCCUCGCCUUUGCCAGUGUAUGUUUGUCAUUCCUCUGUCCCCUGGGAUACAUAGCACGGGAUGAGUCCUCAGUGUGGGGGCACGGGCUUCCUACAACGGGCGCAGGUGGAUCCGACAGCUAAGAGGCAGGGAGGCGGUUGGGGUGGGUUUCGGCGUGAUGGCUUUAGCGGUGCAUCCGGCGCAGCUGGGCCGGUUCGGCAACGAUGGGUGUCAUGCGUCAUAAGGCGGGGUGAGCAACAUGGGUGGCGAUGCAUGGCCUAGCGAUGCUGUCAUCCCCCCUAUGUCCUCCGGUCGUGCCAUCGAUCUAGGGAGACUCCUCUGGAAACCCUAGUUAGCCCUAUACCUAAUUGCACCAUGUCAUGUUGCUAGACCCCUCCUAGAUAUAACCGUCGUUGAGGGUAUGGGUUCAUCGUCGCGGGGGCCGCAGACUCAUUCAUUCCUCCCACUUCGUGGUUGUGCACUACCGGUAGCUCUGCCCCGUCAGGGAAGGGUGGGGCGAUUGAAGCAACAUCUGCCCCCCCCCCCCCCNNNNNNNNNNNNNNNNNNNNNNNNNNNNNNNNNNNNNNNNNNNNNNNNNNNNNNNNNNNNNNNNNNNNNNNNNNNNNNNNNNNNNNNNNNNNNNNNNNNNNNNNNNNNNNNNNNNNNNNNNNNNNNNNNNNNNNNNNNNNNNNNNNNNNNNNNNNNNNNNNNNNNNNNNNNNNNNNNNNNNNNNNNNNNNNNNNNNNNNNNNNNNGGGCCUUUGGCCGGGACCAUUUAGUCCCGGCCUGCCUCUGGGCCGGGACUAAAGGCCCGACCACGUCGCCCCAAUUCUCAAUGCCCCCCUCGAGGCUUUAGUCCCAGCCCGUAAGGAGCCUUUAGUCCCGGUUCGUGUCCCAAACUGGGACUAAAGGGCUACGCGGCGGGCAGUGGUGGUGGCAACCGUUCGUAUCCCCCUUUAGUCCCGGUUGGUGGCUCAACCCGGGACUAAAGGACUAACAUGUGGCCUGCCGUAGUGGUGGAAACCGUUGGUAUACCUCUUUAGUCCCGGUUGGUGGCUCAACCCGGGACUAAAGACCCAAACGGUUUGCAUCCCGCGUCGUUUCGGGCGAUGAAAAGCACGAACCGAAGCACAGUCGCCAUUUCUUUGUUUCUUCUUCUCUCUCGCUCUCCCUCUCUAUUCUUCUCCUCUCUUCUUCCCUUCUCUUCGUCCACCAUGCCAACUAGCUUUCAUAAGGUGCUCGCACAUGGCACGACCAUGCUCGAUGUCGUGUACACGAACCUGAGCAGGGAGGUGCCGUUUUUUCUUCAACAGUUGAAGGAAAAAUGGUUUGACAACGCAGUGGAUCAUGAGAAGUUCUUGGGGCUUGAUCUGGAGUACACGGCCGAUCAACGCGGUGUUGCCGUCAUCCAACUAUGCUUCGCACGCCAUGUCUUGAUCUUCCAAUGGGCGAGGUAAGUUUUGAGGCUUUCUUUAAUCCAAGAUAAUGACAUUGUAAGUUUAUUUGUUUCAAUCAUAGUUGGUUCCCUUCAAAUAGUUGUAGUGAAACAAUUUUGAUUAGUUGAAGGGGAACACAACCUAAUUGGAAUAGUGUUCCAUAAUCUGAAAAAUCGUAUUAGAAUCAACUAGUGUUUAAUAUGUUCCAUUGGAAUCAUAGUUGGUUCCCUUCAAAUAGAUGUAGUGAAACAAUUUUGAUUAGUUGAAGAGGAACACAAUCUGAUUGGAAUACUGUUCCAUAAUCUGAAAAUUCGUAUUAGAAUCAACUAGUGUUUAAUAUGUUCCAUUGGAAUCAUAGUUGGUUCGCUUCAAAUAGUUGUAGUGAAACAAUUUUGAUUAGUUGAAGGGAACACAAUCUGAUUGGAAUAGUGUUCCACAAUCUGAAAAAUCUGAUUGGUUCAAUAUGUUCCAUUGAAAUUUGUAGUGAUACAAUUUUAUGCGGUGUUCUUUGAUCCAAGGUUAUGAAAAUUGAAUAUAGCUAGUGAUCUCUCUAGGUUCCAUUGGAUAGCAAUAUGAUAUGUCAUAGUCAUGAAAAUUGCAUAUAGCUAGUGAUCUCUCUAGGUUCCAUUGGAUAGCUAUAGUGAUCUCUCUAGGUUCCAUUGCAUAUGUUCUAUUUGAAUCCUAAAGAUAAUUUUCUCUUUAGUUGUAGUGAAACAUGUUUCCUUAUUGCAGCAGUAUGUAACAUUUGUUCCAUUUUAAUUUGUUUCUGUUGCAGGAGUGACAAGCAUUGUCCAGAACUCAUGGACUUCCUUCGCAGCAGCAUCACUUUUGCUACCGUUGACAUAAGGAACGACAAGCUGAAGAUGAGGCAUAGCUUCGGUAUUGAGAUACCAGCUGGUUGCCUCGUUGAUCUCCAAACGGUAUUCAUGCUUCGACAUGACAGGACUUCGAUGGCUCAUAUGGCAGUUGCCUUGAUCGACGAGGGAUAUGGUGAUAUGAAGACCAGUUUCCCAAAGUCUCAGCACAAACUUUGGGAGAAGGGCCCACUAGAUCCUAUCAACAUUGAGUAUGCAGCAAAAGAUGCAUACGUUUCAUACGAGUUGUACCGCAAGAUUCGAGUCGUCAACUAUGGCCAGCGUCACCUCGAGGAAGGUGGACAUUCCGAUUCAGACGAUUCAGACGAGUAGUGUUCUCAACGUCGAACACUUGUAUAUAUAUCUAUGGUAGCUAUUAUUAUGUACUGUUUGGACUAGUAUCAUGUACUGCUUGGACCAAUUUAUAUAUGUCUAGUUUCUGUUUGUGCCAUUAUAGUUUUCAAAUUUGAAUGGUUUAGCCCUUUCUAACUUCAUUUGCUACUUUUGAAUGGUUUAGCCCUUUCUAACUUCAUGGUAUCAUGCAUUUCGACCACAUAUAUAUACAAAAAGUCUUCAGUUCAAAUAAGUUCAAAAAAUGAAAUCCCUUUUGUAACAGAUCUGUUUUUGAUUAAAACAGUCAUUCAAAAAUGAAAGACCAUUAGUCCCACGUGGCGUGCAGCGGAACCACGUGGCGUGCAGCGGAACCACGUGGCGUGCCGCGGAACCACUUUUGUCGUGGGGGUCGCUUCUCCUUCUUCUCCUUGUGCUAGAUAUUGGUUAUGCACUAGGGGAAGUAGGAGUAGCGACCAUCAUCGACGGUUGAAAAAUCAGGUGAGCUAGUGUCCACCAUAUAUGAGAGAAGAAGAAUGUCGUCUCUUAUUGUGGGGGUCGCUUCUACUUCGAGAGAGAUUGUCCAUUUUGUGAUGUGCCUUUGAAUGGUGCAUUUUGAACACACAAAAAGUAUNAUUGAAUUUUCUCUAUAAUUUCUAAUAUAGUUUCAAUUUUCAGUGAGUUUAGGCCCGUAAGCCUGCUUUAGAGAGGAGCUCGAUCGAGAAGCUGCGACGGGGCUUAUAAACAAGUGUUAGUCCCCCUCGUUGGGCGAGGUGGGACUAAACUUAUCGUGCAGCCGAGGAGGGGCUUUAGUCCCGGGUGGAGCCAUGCCCCGGGACUACAGACCACCUUUAGUCCCGGUUGAAGCCACGCCCCGGGACUAAAGACCCCUUUUCGGCAGGCGAGGAGGCGGGAAACGAGGGGCUUUAGUCUCGGGCCGUGGAUCCACCCGAGACUAAAGGGGAUCUUUAGUCCCGGUUCGAGCCACGCAUCGGGACUAAAGAUCCACCUAUAUAAGCGGGACUUCGAAAAAUUCCAACCCAAAUCGUCCAUUUCUCUUCUUCUUCCUCUCGUUCUCCUGCCCGGCGCGGCACAGCGACGAACUCGACAACGCCGUCAGGCUGCCCGACGUCCUGCUCGCCGCCGCCUGCCGUCCUCCUCGCCGUCGCCGUCGUCCUCCUCGCCGCGCGCCGCCCUCCUCGCCGCGCCCUGUCCUCCUCCUCGCCGCGCGCCUUCGACACCUCCGGCCGGUAAGCCCCCCGCCCCCUCCUCCCCAACACACCGGCCAGUAGAAGAAAAGAAGAAANACACACACACACACAUAUAUAUAUAUAUACAUGUGCAGCUUUCAUUGGAUUCUGUUGGACAUUCAAAUUGAUAAGGGAAGAGUUGAUGCCUUCGACCCAUUAUCGAGAUCCUUGAAACAGUUCCAAAGCCUGCAGGACAUGCUCCAAGGGUAAUUUUAAUCAUUCUUGCGCUCUAUCGGUCUCUUUUGAUGAUUUUCUGAUAUAUCAAUUAAUGAAAAACUUAGCAAAUCAUUAUCCUUGUCCGGCAGGGUUUGGAAGCGGUUCAAGUGCGUGACUCCCGGUAACUUUCCUGAGAAGCUGACCUUUAGAGCGGCUCAGGUAAGUAGUAGUAUGAUAUACUUCUAUUAAUUUUCAAUACAUUUAUGAUGCUAGAUUAUUAUUUUGAUUAUAUAUAUUCUAUUCUCGUAAAGUGCGACCAGCAGCCAUGGGAACGCAUCUAUGCGGAUACUAUGUUUGCGAGACCAUUCGCACGUUUACCUCUGAGCUCAAGGAUCACAGAUUCGACGUAAGCAAUGAACAUUCACACCUCUAUUUUUACCCGUCAUUCUUUGUUAUCAUGAUUGAUAUUCAUAUUCAUCUCCUCUUCUUAUAUAGCACACGGCCAUGAGGACGAAGGUCCUACCAGAGCAACGCGCGAUUGCUGUUGCAGAGGAGCUUGCGACCUUUCUGAGGACGGAAGCUAUAGAUGACAAAGGACGAUUUAGUGUAGCUAGGGGCCAUUACUAAUGUUCGUCCAUGUAAUCGAAUAGACGGGCUCUAGUCCCGAUAAUUCAGAUCUCCAUAUAAUUGUAUAUAUAUGCUCGCUUGUAAGAUAAGUUAAUCUAAAAUAUAUAUAUGCAUAACUAUUUCUAUUUAAAUUAUAUGAAAACUAAUUCCCGAACACCAAACGAGGCAUCACGUUAAUCUCCCGAACACAUAAACCCUAAAACCCUAAAACACAGAAAUAAUUUCAUUAAAAAAAACCCAAAAACCAGCAAAAUCUGAAAAUCUUUAGUCCCGGUCCGUGUAACGAACCGGGACUAAAAGGCCUGCCCCUGGGGCGCUACGAGGCGCCGACGUGGAGCACCUUUAGUCCCUGCUUGUAAGAGGGCCGGGACGAAAGGUUAGGCCUUUAGUCCCGCCCCUUUAGUCCCGGUUGGUGAACCGGGACUAAAGCCCCUUACGGGCCGGGGCUAAAGGCCCCGUCCCCACUAGUGACAGUUGCCACUCCGAUGAGCAGCAUUGAGGCAGGUGUUGGUGGUCUGCCUCGUACAUAUGGGUGGCGGGGUGAGAGCUAACAGUUGGUCCUUGUGUAGUUGUCCUUGGCGGUGGCGGCCUUGCCGUCAUCUAGAUUGGGAGUUCUCAGCCUACCAUUGUUGUCCCAAGGUGGCUUCGUGAACUAUUACCAUGGCGUUGUAUGUGUGGGUGGGUGGGAUAAAUAUUUUCACCUCAUCUCACAAAAGAAUGCCGCCUAGCUAAAAGACAUCUCGGUGUGCACACAGCCAAGGGCCAGCCAAUAUGCACUCACUGAUCACUCGAUCUUCCUAAUCCAUAACCAAAUAAUUGAAUUCUUCUUAUGCAAUAUCAUGUUGUCACAAAAAGUCAUCAGGAUCUUCUGGGUUGCCUGAACUAGUGCCAUCACUUUUUGUAGAACGUGCUUCUGAAGGGGAUGCUAUCAUGAGUGGAAUCUGGCGUCUUUGAUCUCCAUGGUUGUUACAUGCGAUGGGUCUCAAAUGGUACGAUAACGUACAUGAUUAUAUUCAUAUUUAAGAAUGAGAAGAGAGAUGGAACAUGAUCAUAACUCGCAACAAAGCCAUCCUACGUGGGUGAGACUGAACAAGGCAUAUAGCUUAGUCGUUGCUCGGUUUGUGCUAGCAUAUUCAACAUACACAUUUUACACAUUUUUUCCAAUUAGUUGGAAUAGUUUUUGAUAUGCUAGGUUUAUACUUACAAACACCACAUGUGUAAGAUGUUGGAACUCUUUUCGCAAUCUAGCCAUAACUAAUAGAUAUCAUAGGACUUGGAAGCACCAGGAUUUCCCACAACACCAGAGAGCCUCUGUCAUGAAGUUGCACUCAACUGAUUUGUUAACUUGAAAAGGAGCCUUCUCGCUAGUAUGAAAACCCUUAUAGAACUCGAUAGUUAGUGGUGUCGGCCAAAUUCAGGACGCCAACGUUAUUUCUGCAAAAUAUCAGCGGUGGUCGAAAAAUUAGAAGGGCCAAAGGUAUGAUUUAGUAACAACGUUGAAAAUAAUGCAAGCACCCGGGUUAUUUUUUGCUAAAUGCCACACCUGUUGGACCACGAAGAAACACUUUUGGUCCUUAAAGUAUCAACAAUGUUUGCAUGGUUGAUCCGCGCCGCACUACAUAAGGAAAAUAUUGAUGAUGUGUUGGCGUAUUAUAGAAAUGCCUUCGUUAAUGUACCCACCAAAUUUGGCAAAAAAUUAAUCCCACAAUGCUUGAAUAUAUCACUGUAAACUAAACAUGUGGCACAUGCAUAUGUACGAAAUGAAGUUAAACUUAAUUAUAUAGACAUACAUAACUUAUAGUUCAAUAUUCAUCGAUCGGCCACCAAAAAAUAUAUCAGGCGCCGAUUUUGAUCAAUGCUAGAUAUCAACUUCGGUGUGUCAUCAUCGUAGCUCCAAAAUGUGCAACAAUCAGGUAUACUCAAUUAUGUACACUGCUGAUUCAAAAAAAAAAAUUUAUGUACACUGCUACGAAGCUAGCUAGACGCUCUAGAGCCGUGAUGGAGACCGCAGCAGCUCCACGCGCACACGACUAUAGGGUACGCUCCUCGUCAUUCAUCCUCCUCUUGUCGGACGUCCGAUCGUGCGGGCUGUUGUGCGUGCCCAUACUCCUAGAGCAUGGGGUCGGAGUGGUCGCGAAUGGUGCCACCGUAGUGCCAGCCAUGGUCGCCGUCUGCAGCCGCAUCGAGAUCGGACAGAGCAAUGCCUGCCUCGAGCAUGACCACGUCCUCCGCAACCUAGCGGGCGUAGAUGAAGUCAGCACGCCCGGAGCAGGGACGUGGAUUUUUGAAGCUCAGACUUCUGGAUACCCCUUCUAUACUUAUACUAAUUAGGCACUCUUAAGAAAUUACCAUGUUAAUCAGAAUUUAUGAGCCGUUUAUUUCGUGGGUCCGAAUUAUUACGGUGUAGAUCCAAUCUUGAAAUCUGAGCCGAAUGGUGGGUCCAAAUUAUUAUGAUGUAGAUCCAAUCUUAAAAUUUCUGCCUGCUAAAUACGUUUUUCUCCAUUGUAAAACCUAGAAUAAAAAAAAACAAGUAUCAAUGUAUCUAAAGCUUCGAGUCCUUUAACCCCCCAAACAAAUCAAUCUGUUUCCGUGUCAUGCCGCCGCCGGCUUCUAUCAAAACGGCAGGGCAACCUCCUCUACCUCUUCUAUUUCUCAUUGUCCAAUGAGAUCUAUUUAUUAGCUUAAACACAUGAUGUUCACAAGUGCUCCGUUUCUAGGCAUAAAGAUUAAUCAGGUGCAUGAUCGAUGAGAAGGUGUACGCGUAUGUUCGGGAGGUUGUCUGCAUCUCGCCGGACUAACAGAUUGCAUCGGAAGGAUUCGUUGCGCUGCACCAGCCAACGCUGCAGACCAAUGCGACCAUGACCGGCCAACCCUGAAGGCCAGUACAGACAUGAUUUUAUUUCUAACUGGCGAUCAUUGGUGUCUAUCACGUGUCUGUGGUUGCAGCCGGAAGAAAUUAAUCCCCGAUACAUGUAUGUAGGUUCGUACCUACUAGCACUUCUGGAUGGAUUUAUUUUUUUGGAUGGAACAACAUCUGCGGGAAUCAAUUACCUGUUUCGGAAGUCAGCAACUCAGUUAGUUAGUAUACGUUCGCGUACGGGUGUUUCUGCAAUAUGAGUCCCAAAUGAAUCAUGUUUCUCUCUGCCGACAGAGCCUGACCUGCUCCUUUUCUGUUUGACCAUUGUGAUCCAUGUUCCUUUUCCGUUUGACUAUUGUGAUAUUGUCCGUAGAUCCGGUUGUCUUCUCCAGCUUUUCCCGAAGUAUACCUAAGAUGGCAACACUAUAUAAAUACCUCCUGAAGGAGCUAAUUGGGAUUAGGCACUUCUCAGUCACUAGCUUGGCUAUGGGCUAUGGCAUUCUCUUCCCCCCGCUUCGUGAUUUCUUAUCGAGACCAAGAGCCAGGUAAGCAUGGUACGAUUGGUUAAGAAUAUCAUGUUACACUUAUCUUAACUGAGUUUGAAUUCCUCUACUAUUUUGUUGUUGACCCGACUGAGAUGACUUGAAUAUGUCUAUGCCCGCCCCACUACGAUUUGUUGGCACACAUCAGAUGCGUUUGUGUUAGACAAGAGCUUACAUGCAGGCUAACCGCCCUAGGAGGGAAAAGUCGGCCAUAUUUGUUGUCAUUUGGUGUGUGAGAAACUGAAAACUAAUAGUUUUGUGAAGAGCAAAGAGGAUAUAGAUGUCGUGCUGCAAUGAAAUACAUGUUUCUAUAGUCGAUAUUCGGGUGAGAUGAUACUGCAGUAAAUAAUUGCUCCUUCCGUUCUUAAAUAUAAGUCUUUUAAGAUAAAAAAAAUAUUUUAAUGUAUUUUACUAGAGGACUACAUGCAUACGGAAGAAAAUGAAUAAAUCUACACUUUAAAGUAUAUCUACAUACAUCUGCAUGUAGUCUCCUAAUAAAACCUCUAGAAAGACUUAUAUUUAGGAGCCGACGGAGUAGAACCCAUGCACUGUAAACCAUAGGUCUGUGAUCUGUAUUGUGUUCCGGUGAUGAACAUUGAAGCAUAUUAUUUUCAGUUAAUCAAAUCAUCCAUGCAAUGGACAGAUAAACCAUAGAAAUAUAACUCAGUCUGGUCUGACUUUCAUUCAGGUCUAGAUAAACAAUUUCUUGAUUUUUUUAACAUUUGAAAUAUUAUUUUUGGGCCUGGGAGCAUGUGCUCUCAGGAGCGAAAUUGAAUUUAUGAUGGAGUACCUUUAUUCACUAAAAGCAACACAGUUUGGCAUGCUAGAGCACGGCAGGUUUGGCUGCAAGGUGACGGCGAAGAAGUAUACUACUAUCACUAUUGUUGGAUUUUGGGUGGGAUACAUUUAUAUCAAAGACAUUAUUUGUAUGUUAGUUUGACCUAGGAGAUUAGAUAUUUUUCAAUAAUAUUUCACAAGUAUGUUGUUCUAUGUUCAAUUUUCUAAUAUAAUUUUGUUAGUUGAAUUUGUAAUAUUAGCAAAAUAAUAAUAUUUUUUGUUCAAUUUUAAUAUAAUUUGUUAAAUAAAGUGUAAAAUUAUGAUUAUUGUAAUCUUUUGUUUUGUACUACUACUGCAUGAACAUGUUAAUAUGAGAUAGUACUAUAUUAUAGAUAUAACUAAAUGAUUUUGUUUAAAUAUAUAACAUAUAUGUAUAAAUCAGUUUCAAUUUACUAUGCAUAUUAAUAUUGUCUUAAGUCAAACUUCAUAAACAUUGACCAAGUUUAUAGAAAACUUUAUCGACAGGUACAAUACCAAAUCAAUACAACUCGACUAAUGUCCCUAAAUAUAUUUCACAUAGUAUAUAUUUUUUGAAGUGUUUCUAUUAUUCUCGAUAGAUGUUCCAGCGGUUCAAUAUAUAUGUGUAGUAAAUUGAAUAGAGCAUUUAUAAAAAUUAAGCGGUUCAAGAUUGCCACCAAAUUAAAUAAAAAUUAUUAAAACAUACAUUUUUAAUUACCACACAUUGUUGUAGGCUAGCCCGUGCGAAUGCACGGGUUGACGGCUAGUAUCCUUAAUCACCAACAUUGCUUUAAGAUUUGAGCAUGCUAGACAACUAAGUUACUAUGCCAGAUUUUCUCUUUUUUGUUUCUUGCACACUUAAACAACACUUGAACUUUAAAGUUUGCAGAACACCUAAACAUUCUAACUAGAAUGUGGGAGAAAACUUUCCGAUUUUUGGUCCAACGUAAAUAUACGAAAUGAGAUUUUCUGGAUUAAAAAAAGUUAUGUUUAGUAUUUAGGAUGCACGCAAAAAUCCAAAAGUUUUCCCCACACUCUAGUUAGAAUAUUUUGUUGUGUUGUGAAGUUUGAAAUUCAAAUGUUAUAUUAUGUGGGAAAAAUAAAAAAGAGAAAAGUAUUUGCACGAAUCGUGAUGCAUACAUGAGUGGCUGGAUAGGUGGGUGCCGAGGAGCCUAAGCUCCAAAAUAUGUUUUCGGCGCCAGCAGUGAGAUGAAGAGCAUGAACUCUACAUCAGAGCUCGUAGUCGCGGGCAUGACAAUGGCCUUCUCCUCCUCCUUGCUACGCGACACCGGGACUGGAGGCGGGAGCGCCAUUGGGGCAGGUGGUAGGCCGACUGAACGAUGGUAGGUCCGGCAACUGACGUCUCUUCGAUGGCCCGAGGUGGGGUCUAGGAUGAUGGCACAGGCACCCGUCAAACAAAGUGUGAACUCAAGAUUAAGAGGGCGUGGUGGGCCUUGAGCUAACACACACCUUGGGUGGCUACGACAGGAAGGCUCGACUGCACUUGCGAUCUAGCUAACCCUUGGGGAUGCAUGGUGACAAUGGGCCGCGGAAGGGGCGACGGGCAGCCUCAUUGCGACCGGCCAUUUCAGCAUUGACGAGGAGUGCGCGAGUACGUAGUAUUGGGGGGGUUUUCUCGGGAAGAGGGCCGAAGUGCGACGAGAUCACGCGAGAGAGGGAGAGUGUGACCGAUAAAGAGGAAGGGAUUUGGCUAUUUAAUACUCCCUUCAUUUCACAAUGUAGCACAUCCGGGCUUUUCGAGAUCUAAAUUUAACCAUAUAUUUAACCAACGAGACCGAUUACGGCGGAAGCAGAAAUUGUAUCAAUGAAUUCGUAUUUUCAAUACAAAUUCAGUAGUGUAAUAUUUACUUCUGUCGUAGUCGGUUUUGCUAUUUAAAUUUAUGGUCGAACUUAGAUAGAAAAAACAAGGAUGCAUUGUAUUGUGAAAUGGAGGGAGUAUACUGAAAAGACCCACACAACAGUGAUAAAGAGGUGGGAGACCAGUGAUGGACUGGUUAAACAUGUUCCAGAAGCUACAGGCGUGGACUCGGGCUCCUGCAACGUGUCACGGCACCUAUGUUUCCACCCGAGGCUGCUAGUAGGGAUCUAAAAUCUUAAUUAAAUAAAAAAGCAAUAUAUAUGGAUAAAGAUAAGUCUUAUACUAAAGGCUAUCAUGCAUGCAAAAAUAUGGACAAAUAGCUAUCAUCUACUCCCUCCGUCCUAAUAUUAUUGUCUUACAUUUGUCUAUAUAUAAAUGUAUCUAGUCACUUUUUAGUAUUUAGAUACAUCCUUUUUUAGACAAUCCUAAGACAAGAAUUUUAAGACGGAGGGAAUACAAUAACAUGAAACUCCAAAUGUCUUGCAUUGAAAUGUCGAACUUUCCUCCUUUGGACUGUCUUUGUUAACAAAAAAAGCAUAAGUGUCUUUGCAAUGUACUACAACACAACCUCAAUGCAACACACUCAGAAUCCAACCAAGGCCCAUAGAGAUCGUAGCAUCACAACAUGGCGAGCUUUAUCUAUUACUGACUUCACAAAAAAAAAUCAAAAAAUCAAUAGUGAAAAUAUAUAAGGGGCGCCUGGAUUCACACAAAUACCGAUGAUAACUACUCCCUCCGUUCCUAAAUAUAAGUCUUUAAAGAGGUUUCAUUAGUGGACUACAUACGGAUGUAUAUAGACAUACUUUAGAGUGUAGAUUCACUCAUUUUGCUCCGUAUGUAGACUCCUAGUGAAAUAUCUUAAAAGAUUUAUAUUUAGGAACGGAGAGUAUAUAAUGGCCGGCGGUGGAUCACAUCUUAUAUUUAUUUCCUACUUUAAUAUGUAUUUCCUAUGUUUCAAGUUUUAUAAGUAUUCCUUAUUUUAAUAUGUAUUUUCUAUGAUUCAUGUUUUAGGGGAAAUGUUGACUAGCCAGCACGCCCAUCUUCUGUGAAAGUUUGGGAGGCGGUCUUUCUCCCGUAAGGUCCAUCCCCUCCCUUCCAAAAUCCUUCCCCCCCCCCCUUCGCCGCAGCCUCUGCUUCAACCAAAAUUUUACCAGGAGGUUAAAAUUGAUCCAACCCCAAUGGUUUCUCCCCACAAAUCUUUCACUCCCCUCGGCGUCGAUCGACGACACCAUUAUGACAAUUGAUGACUCGGCGGUGUAGUGCCAGCCGCUCCUCUUCCCGCCCGAUCUACAGCGGCAGGCCGCCCAUCGCUGACCGGCUACCGUUUGACGCCUCUCCUCCUCAUCCACCAAAGACGACCUUGUGUUGGAUGUCCAAAGUCGGGUCAGCACCGUGGCCGAUGCUCGUGCUCUAUUUCGAUGCCCGUUUUCCACCCAUCGGCCGACGACCUUGCACCAUGGCCUCGUCAUCACACCCUCCCUUAUGCCACCACUGGCGGAGUCGGCCUCUUCCUCCGGCCCUGACAGCUCCGUGCCUCCCUCUGUCACCUUGAACACCACCUCCCGCUAAGCUCCCGGUAUACCCCCUCCCCUAUGUAAUAUGCAUGUCAAAAUUUUGAUGUAAUGCACACUAGUAAGAUAUUCACUCGAAGUCGGGAUUCUAAGUCUAUAUUUACUAAAAUCCUAUAUUUUUAUACGGGCUACAAUUUUAUAUGCUCUCCAUAGAGUUUGUAAUACAAAAAUUAGAACAAAACAAUGAAAUUACAUAGGACACAUAGGAAGUUUCGCGACCUGUGGGGUCGAACCGCAACACCAGCGGUAACCACGUUAGCGGUGAUGUCGGCUACUGAAGCGGUAAUAUGCUCAGUUAACGAUGUUUGUGCUUGACGUUGCUAGUUAACCCUGAUCAAAGGCUUCUCCCCUCCAUGCUGAUAAUGAUGUUUUUGGAACGGCCCUUCUAGGCUUUUCAGCACUAGUGUCUUCGGGCACCGUCAUGGAACCGGUACACUUGAUUGGGUAGUACAAAACAUCCACAUGUAUGAUAUGGGAUGCGCUCAGUCCUCAUCAGCAUAUCAUGCUCCAUGGUCUGAAGUUUGAUGGGUGUAUUAGACUUAGACAAACGUGAGCUCAGGUGGCAAGCCAAAGAUCCUGGAUACAUUUACUUAAGAGGAAAUGAACUUGUUGUUAACAAAAAAAAGUAGAAAAGAAGGUCAUUUUCUUCAGAGGCUACAAGCAAAACAAAGUCCGUGUAGCACAGUGGCAAGCAUUACCUUCUUGUUAUGUUGGUGGCAUGGGUAAGAUCCCGGCAACAACAGCACAACUACACAGGCUAGAGGGAUAGAGAGGAAAAGAAUCAAGGGUACCUCAUUGAUUCCCCCAUAAGAUCAGAUUAGCACUCAGGCUACUCAGCCAUGGAUAUGCAUCACUGUGAUGCCGCUGUUGUGAUUCUUUCCCAUUCUUCUCAACUAUGCCUUUGACCCCNNNNNNNNNNNNNNNNNNNNNNNNNNNNNNNNNNNNNNNNNNNNNNNNNNNNNNNNNNNNNNNNNNNNNNNNNNNNNNNNNNNNNNNNNNNNNNNNNNNNNNNNNNNNNNNNNNNNNNNNNNNNNNNNNNNNNNNNNNNNNNNNNNNNNNNNNNNNNNNNNNNNNNNNNNNNNNNNNNNNNNNNNNNNNNNNNNNNNNNNNNNNNNNNNNNNNNNNNNNNNNNNNNNNNNNNNNNNNNNNNNNNNNNNNNNNNNNNUUGUAUAUAAAUCAGGACAACGAACAGGAUUUCUGAUGCAACAUUUCUCACUGGUUCGUCUGUGCAGCUUGAUGGAUUGUACUGCAUUUUCUGACCUGCGGAUCUCAUCCGUGUCAUUUCCACACGCUAGUAGUGCUGAGGUACUGGCGUACCACACCACUGCACCCAGUGAUCGUAGUCUAGCAAAGAAUUAAUCGCGCGUAACCUCGUAGCAGUUGAAGUUUCAGCUCUGUAAUCCACUGUAAUCAAGAUUAAACAAGUGGUUAAUAGUAUUUCUGUACGACAGAUAAUUACAAGAUAGAUGAAAUAACUGAAACGUUUGACCAGAUUCAGUUUCAUAUGGAGUACUGUUGCUUGUUGGCUAUCUUUGGACAACAGGUGAUACUACCUCCGUCCAAGUGUAUAAGGCAUGCGCGUAGUUCUAGGUUGUCAAUUUAACUAGCUAAAUAUAUAUUAUAUGUGAUAAAAAUUACAUAUUCAGAAACUACACCCUCACAUAAAUCUAAUGGUAUAUUAUUUAUUACAUAUAAUAUAUAUUUAAAUAGUUAAAUUAACGACCUAGAACAACGCGCAUGCCCUAUACACCUGGACGGAGGGAGUAGCUUAUGCCUUCUUUUCCGUUGCGGACACAGACACACAGGUUGCGGGUUGAAUUCCUUCCAAGCUAGUAUUAAUAAACAACUCAUGCUACCAAUAGCACAGACACGUUCUCAAACAAUUUGGUUAAAAAAGGGUGAAUCUCAGCAGCAAAGUCAAACAGAUGCUACAAACAAACGUUGUCCGCUUUGUCCUAACUAACUGGAUUAGAUUAGUGCAACAAACUAAGAUAGAUUGCACAAGUUUUUGGUUCGCAGAUCCUGCAGGGCUUAUUACAGCGGCAUGAGACCACGGAGACCACAUAUGCACUGAAAUAUGUCCUUAUUUACACAAAUGGUUAUAAUUAUUCUCUUAUUUACACAAAUGUAUUUAUUUACUUAUCUCACAUCUUACCUGAACUGCAUGAUAGUUCCAGAUAUAUUUUUUGGACAAAUAUAAUUGUAGAUAUGUUUUUACUGGUAUAUGACAGAUGAGGACUCCAUAUUAGAAUAACAAACUUGUUGUUUAUGUAACGGAUGAUGUCAAAAAGGAAAUCAGAUCUAUUAAGGACCGAAACAUUAAAUUCAACCUUGAUACAGCUUUGUCAACUCACUCAAACCAUUAACAUAUCAUACUAAUCGAGCCCUUUCUACACGUCCGCAAUAACAGUGAACAGGUUCACUAAAUUGAGAAUCUCAUUUGUUAAUACAACCCUGUCUUGCAGGUAAAUUGCCAAGUUUCACUGAUCUUAGGUAGAUGGGUACCCAAAUUGCGAUCAAUCCUAGUCUAGGGUGCUAAUUUAGCGGCUAGUAUAAGCGCAGACACACAAGUGAAGUAGUGCAAACUUGGACACAAUCCUCACCAAACUGUAACAACUACAUGUAUAACAGUGACAUUCGGUGAACAAUUGGAUCACGAAAAGAUUUGGCCCGGUUUCUUUAUCAGAUUCUGUUUACUAAUUAUACUACUCUAUUAUAAUAACUGGACUAUGUUGUCCGAGGCAUGUCGUGGCAGAUCAUGCAUGUUGUUAUUCUCAUUGAUUCACACAAUUUUCAAGCAAUGUAUUAUCAUAUGAAAGACGUGAGAACAUGUCUCUUCAUAUAUGUUAAAGAUGCAAUAGACUAAGUCAAGACCCUAAUUAUCCAAAAGAUCCCAACCUACGACUGGACUGCAUGUUAAGUUUGAUUUAUUUAUAAUUAUUGUAACUGUAAAAAAAUAGAUUAAAGGUGACACAAAAAGAACUUUUUCUGCCGCAUUCAAAGUUAUCUUUGUCUUUGGCUGCCAUAAGUUGCUUCUUUGUUUUGCCAUGGACAUGUUUUGAAUCUUGUGUUGCAUGCAUGAGUCAAUGGAGAGGCCGUAGGUCUUCCCUCUUUUUGAACAAAAAACUUGUUGUAUAUUAGCCUCACGAAAAUAACAAAUUUAGCAAACAUAUCUCUCCAUAUUAUGCAUAUGUACCUUCGGUCACAAUUUUGGGACAAACAAAAUUAACUUCCCAAACAGAGAACAGCACAGAGCAGAGCAACCAAAAGAUAGGAACUACAUUCUUCUGGAAAUGAUAGACAUUAUUAAUUAAUUAUGUGAACUAUAAUAAUGAUGGUCUGAAAAGGAACGCUUCCUUUUAUACACACAUGGUCAUAGAAGAUGUCCAUAUCUCCACACAAAGAAAAAGAUGUCCAUAUUAGAUAUAUUUUCAGAAUUAAUUACUCUCAAGUCAAGACAGUCGAGCGCGCCGGGAAAUAUGUAUUGGCAAGACGUAUAUGACGAUAUGUUUGAACUGCAGUUUAAUUAGUUCUCCCUAUUAUUAGCUCAAACAUAUCUAAUUUAUACGAACUAUUUCACCAUUGUGUAGGAGGAUUCUACACUGACAUAUUCAUGCUACAAUCGUAUAUAGAUAAUUUUAACCAUCCAAUAGCACUGCAGUUCUAUAGAAGUUAAUCAUGUUGUUUCUUUAGGAUUAGGAAAGAAAGCCAAACCAAGUCCUAGUAGUAUUAGGAUUUCUAGUCCUAGUCUAUUUUCAUAGUCCCUUGUGGACGUGUAUAAAAGACAUCCUAGGGGUGUUGAUUGUAACACCAGAAAAACGAAAAGCAAUACAAAGCAAAGGCUCGACACGGGUCUUUAGCCAUCAAAUCCAUCGAUCAGUUUUAUUCGUGUCGCUAGUUACGCAAAUUCAACGCACGUUUAAAAGCCAACAAUUGGUAUCUAGAGCCUCGACGAUCUACGAUCUACGAUGACGGACAGCGACGUUGAGUCGCUCAAGUCCGGCAGCGGCGGUGCCAAGGCGAACAAGAACGGCGACAAGGUGAAGAAGGGCGUCAAGUCAGCAACCAGUGGUGGAGGAACGAGCGGCGCCAACGUCCAGGCGCAUCGCAACAUCCCCAUCCAGUACCCGAUGCUCACCGACGCCAACUACGGCGUGUGGGCGGUGAAGAUGAAGAUUAUUCUCCGAACCCUUCGAGUGUGGCAGGCAAUCACGGACGACGACGUCGAUGACGAGUCCGACAAAGGUGCCAUGGCCGCCAUAGCCCAGUCUGUGCCGGAUUCCGUGCUGAUGACAUUGGCGGAGUUCAAGACGACAAGAGAGGCGUGGAACGCACUCAAGGAGAUGAGGAUCGGAGAAGAUCGCGUCACCAAGGCUCGGGCACAAGUGCUGAAGCGCCAAUUUCACAAGUUGAAGAAACUGAAUCGGUGAACGACUAUGCCAUGCGUCUUACUACUUUGGUGGGAGAGAUCCGCGCGCUUGGUGCAAAGCUCGAGGAGACCGAGAUUAUGGAGAAAUUUUUCAGUUCAGUGACUGACAAAUUCACGUACAUCAUCGGCACGCUCGAGAAGCUUUACGACAUCGACGACAUGACCAUAACGGAGGCGAUCGGACGCCUGCGGACGUGGGAAGAGAAUGCUCGUGGCUGUCGAAAAGGCAAAGGAGGAGGUAGUGACCAACUCAUGUACUCGCGCGCAGAUUGGGAGGCCCCAAGUAGCAAAGGAAGGCGUGACGGUGGCGAAGGUUCAAGCAACACGAAGGGCAAUGGACAAACCGGAAAAGGCAAAGGAAAAGGCAAACCACAAGGUCGUGGUAAGGCGGGCCAAUCUAAAGAGCAGAAACCACGGAACUUGGACUUGUCCGAGGUCAAGUGCUAUAACUGCAAUAAGAUGGUCACUUUGCGAAGGAUUGUCCAAAGCCUAACAAGCGGGAUAUCAAGGCAAAUUUGGCAAAGCAGGAAGACGAAGGUCCAGGUCUUCUGAUGGCCGAAGUUUGUGAUCUCGCUGAAACGGUGGUUGUGAAACCAACCCGGAAGGUGCUACUUCAUGAGAAGAAUGUGACACCUAAGUUAUCCGGGGAUCACAAUGUGUCGUGGUAUCUCGACACGGGUGCCAGUAACCACAUGACGAGAUGCAAGGAGAAAUUUCUCGAGCUGGAAUAUGAUGUUCAAGGCUCGGUCAAAUUCGGUGAUGGUUCAGCUAUGGAGAUUUGCGGGCAAGGAUCUGUCCUCUUUGAGGGUCUCACAGGCGAACAUCGCAUACUCACCGGAGUGUAGUACAUCCCACGGCUGCGCAACAACAUCAUCUCUAUUGGGAAGCUUGACGAGAAUGGAUGCAAGGUGAAUAUCGAGAGCGGAGUGAUGACGAUCUUCGACAACCUCCGAAACGUGCUAGCUCGUGUUAAUCGCACACGGAAUAGGCUCUAUAUCCUCAACCUUGAUCAAUCUCAACCGGAGUGUUGGCUUGCCAAGAGUGAUGAUAAUUCGUGGUUAUGGCAUGCUAGAUUUGGACACGUUAACUUCUACGCCUUGAAGAAGAUGACAAAGAUGGAGAUGGUAUCCGGGAUGCCANNNNNNNNNNNNNNNNNNNNNNNNNNNNNNNNNNNNNNNNNNNNNNNNNNNNNNNNNNNNNNNNNNNNNNNNNNNNNNNNNNNNNNNNNNNNNNNNNNNNNNNNNNNNNNNNNNNNNNNNNNNNNNNNNNNNNNNNNNNNNNNNNNNNNNNNNNNNNNNNNNNNNNNNNNNNNNNNNNNNNNNNNNNNNNNNNNNNNNNNNNNNNNNNNNNNNNNNNNNNNNNNUUCCCUGCUCAGUCUACCUAUCGUGCAAGUGAUGCACUCGAGCUGCUCCAUGGUGAUCUAUGUGGCCCUAUCACCCCAGCAACUCACGCGGGAAAGAAGUAUUUCUUCCUCGUGGUAGACGACUACUCGAGAUAUAUGUGGGUCGUUCUCCUACGAUCUAAAGAUGAGGCGUUUGAAGCGUUUAAGAAGCUGAAGGCUGCAACGGAGAUGGAACACAAGUUGAAGGUUCGCGCUCUACGGACAGAUCGCGGCGGAGAAUUUACGUCGAACGAAUUCAACGAUUAGUGCGAGAAGAUUGGUAUAAAAAGGUUCCUCACGGCACCUUACACGCCGCAGCAGAACGGGGUCGUUGAAAGGCGCAAUCGAACCGUCGUUGACAUGGCAAGGAGUUUACUCAAGAGCAAGAACCUGCCGGGGACUUUUUGGGGAGAAGUUGUUUCGACGGCGGUCUAUCUUCUCAACCGGGCUCCAACGAAGGCCGUGGUCGGCAAGACUCCGUAUGAAGCAAUUUACGGACGUAAGCCGAAUGUGUCUCAUCUACGGACGUUCGGAUGUGUGGCACAUGUGAAGACGGCGGAGCCGCAUCUCUCAAAGAUUGCCGAUCGUAGCACCAAGAUGGUGUUCAUCGGAUACGAGAGGACUUCCGGCACCAAAGCAUACCGCUUCUAUGAUCCACAAACCAAGCGUCUACGGAUUUCACGCGACGUCGUGUUUGAAUAAAACCAAGCGUGGAAUUGGAGCGCCGCAGCCGACAAUGCUCCAAACAGUAACAUAUUUGCAGUUGAAUUUCCAACUGAUGAUGAUGCAGGGGAGGAUGUCCAGGUGGUUGGCAAGACGCCCAACCAAGGUGACCACAAUGGUAGUGAUCAUCAUGGUGCCGACACCGACGACGACGCGCAUAGGUCGCAAGGAGAUAGCGACAACGCCGCGCACGACACAGGCGGAGAUCUCGACGACAACAUCGACAACGAGGCGCAUAGUGACGACGACAAUCAAGAUGAUGGUCACGGUCACGAAGACUACGCCGACGACACGGAUGUCGAUGACAUACCAGGGUCUCAGCCAUCUUCCUCAAGUGCAUCAACACCGACACAAUUUGUGUCGCCUCCUUCGCAAGCCACAACGGACUCCUCAGGGCCUCGUCGCUACAAGACCCUCAAGAAAGUCUACAAGUACGCAAAGCCAGUUACGCUCGAGUGCUCCGAACUAUGUCUGUUCGGAGUUGAGGAGCCGGCGAACUUCGUAGAGGCGAGCAAAAGUCGUAGUUGGACGCACGCCAUGGAUGAGGAGAUGAAGGCGAUUGAGAGCAAUGGCACGUGGACUUUGGUAACCCGUCCUCUAAACCAAAAGGCGAUAGGUUUGAAGUGGGUUUACAAGUUAAAGAAGGACACACAGGGUGCCAUUGUGAAGUACAAGGCAAGACUCUUUGCAAAGGGCUACGUUCAACGUCAAGGAGUUGACUAUGAUGAGGUGUUUGCACCAGUUGCUCGAAUCGAGACGGUGAGAGUGCUCCUAGCUUUGGCAGCACAAGAGGAAUGGAAGGUUCAUCAUAUGGAUGUUAAAUCCGCUUUCCUCAACUUGCGAUCUCACAGAAGAAGUGUACGUGGAACAACCCCUCGGCUACCAGAAGAAAGGCGAAGAAGGGAAAGUUUACAAGCUCAAGAAGGCACUUUACGGGUUGAAGCAAGCGCCAAGAGCUUGGAACUCAAAGUUAGACCGAAGUCUGGUCUCGCUCGGGUUCAAAAGAUGUCCCCUCGAGCACGCAGUCUAUACAAAGAACUCCAAAGGCUCAAACCUGCUAGUUGGAGUUUAUGUCAACGAUGUGAUUAUCACCGGAGAUAGCGUACAAGAAAUUGAACGUUUCAAGGCGAAAAUGAAGAACAAGUUUAGCAUGAGUGAUCUGGGAUUACUCAGCUAUUACUUGGGCAUCNNNNNNNNNNNNNNNNNNNNNNNNNNNNNNNNNNNNNNNNNNNNNNNNNNNNNNNNNNNNNNNNNNNNNNNNNNNNNNNNNNNNNNNNNNNNNNNNNNNNNNNNNNNNNNNNNNNNNNNNNNNNNNNNNNNNNNNNNNNNNNNNNNNNNNNNNNNNNNNNNNNNNNNNNNNNGAGAUUUCCCUAUGUCAAUCGGCUUACGCGGUCAAGUUAUUGGACAAGUGUGGCAUGUCAGAUUGCUACGCGACACAAGUUUCAAUGGACCAACGUCACAAGUUGAGCAAGCGUAGCUCAAAUCCGCCGGUGGACACCACAAUGUAUCGAAGCAUUGUGGGCAGCCUAAGAUAUUUGGUGCAUACCCGACCUGACUUCGCUUAUUCAGUCGGGAUCGUGAGUCGUUUCAUGGAGAAUCCGACAACCGAGCACAUGAGCGCGGUCAAUCAAAUCUUGCGCUAUGUGAAAGGCACCAUUAAUAUUGGUUGCACGUACAGAAAGAGAAAGGAAGGAUUGAUCCUUCGUGGAUAUUCAGAUAGUGACAUGGAAGGUGAUGUUGAUGACCGAAAGAGCACAACUAGCAUGGUUUUCUACCUUGGCCCGAAUCCGAUUAGCUGGAAUUCUCAGAAGCAAAAGGUGGUGGCACUGUCUUCAUGCGAGGCGGAAUACAUAGCGGCAAGCACGGCGGCUUGUCAAGCAGUGUGGCUGAGAAGACUCCUAGCUAUUCUUGCAAAGCGGGAGGUGCAGAAGGUGUCACUGAAGAUCGAUAACCAAGCUGCAAUCUCGUUGUGCAAAAAUCCGGUUCAUCACGAAAGGAGUAAGCACAUAGAUACCCGGUUCCACCAUAUCCGGGAGUGCAUUGAAGAAGGGUUGAUCGAGGUUCAACAUGUGAACACGAAAGACCAACUUGCCGAUAUUUUCACCAAGUCCCUCGGUCGACAGAAGUUCAUCGAGAUGAGGAGGAAAGUCGGAGUGCAAGAAGUGAAGUCAAGCAACAAGAUUAAGGAGGUGAAUGUAGAAGUUAAUCAUGUUGUUUCUUUAGGAUUAGGAAAGAAAGCCAAACCGAGUCCUAGUAGUAUUAGGAUUCCUAGUCCUAGUCUAUUUUCAUAGUCCCUUGUGGACGUGUAUAAAAGACACCCUGGGGGUGUUGAUUGUAACACCAGAAAAACGAAAAGCAAUACAAAGCAAAGGCUCGACACGGGCCUUUAGCCAUUAAAUCCUCGAUCAGUUUUAUUCGUGUCGCUAGUUACGCAAAUUCCGUCAAGUAGCCGUCCGAAGCAAGAAUCGCGUAGCCACGCCUGUACGUUUAAAAGCCAACAAGUUCAUCAUGUCACUAUCCUAUACUCUAAAUCGCAGCUGCAGAUAGCGGUACUUGGCUCUCAACGGUACUAACUGGAAAAAAAGAACCAUUCUCUUAUGUCCAAAUAGCUAGAUGUCUAGUCGGGUACUUGUAUAUACGAAUUCUAUUGUGGGAUGCUUGACGAUUCAUCCAUUAGUUAGAGUAAUUGCAGAAGGUAUCAGAAUGAAAACAAAGGUUUCCAUUCGGUUACAUCUACGCACACAUUAUUGAACACACUGAAAUGUGCUAUGCACGUUCAGUUAUAUAUUCACGAGAGCACAUAAUGCAAGUGACCAGUUGGAGGAUACUAGUGACCAAUUAGAGAAUUCCUACCGAUUUCACAAGUUCAGUUCAGUGAUUGCACUGGGUUGGACCUUUUUCAGCAUAGAUCAGUUCUUAUUAAUUAAAAGUUUUGUUUAAACCAGAGGAAGCUAAUUCACAAAACAGGUUUUUUGAAGGGAAAAGUCAAACUAAUUGACCAAUCACUAGUCUUCUCCAUGCAGCAAUGCUAUUGGAAAUUAGUUUACUAAACCCUUUGACAGUGCUUCUGUCGGGGAACAUGACAAAGAGACCAGACAAGUCCAUAGAUAUAUGGACAUCGAAUUUAGAGCACAUUGUUGUUUUAGUACACAUGGCUGGUUCAUAGGCUGCAAUCAGAUCAACCUGAAGCUUCUAGAAAAGAGCAUGCAUGUGGGUGUUAACCCACCCACCGUAACCGAUUUGGUUAACCUUAUUGGCUGUUUGAUGAUGUUGAAGUCACGAACUCCCAUAUAAGAGAGAUAAUCUGGAUUUAUCGAUGUCAAUAUUACUGUUACACUAUAUAAUUAAGCAUGCUAAUUAUUUUGUAGAACUGAAGUUAAGUUGUAUAGUUAGUGGUUGCAUCUUGUUGUGGCAUUCAUUUGUAUUACAAAUGACGCACAUUUAGACGCGGGCUCGAGAAAAAUAAAGACAUGUAGCUAGUGAAAAAUUGUUUGUUGUGAAUUCGAGACUUCUCCUUGAAGUUCAGAGUUUUAUUUUUCUUACUUACUAAGCAUGCUAAUAAAGUAUUUAUGUAUUACUGGAUUAAGAAAGAAAAGAGAAGAAAUAGCCUCACAUAACCAACAAGACGUACUAUUCAACUAUAUGUCUGAAUGGACAACCAAUGGAACUAACCACUCAACUUUUCUGGGGAGAUGCAUAUACAUAUUGGAUUUGCAUGCCAGCACUUGUCAGUAGCAAUCAAGGGUUGACAAAAAGCAUCCAAUGAGCAAGGUGUGAUAGCUAGUAUAUAUGCACAAUUCAAACAUCAAUGUGCCCAAUUUUGCAGGAACGCUCUGCUCCGUGUGAUGUGAGACUUCAAGUGGUUGCAUGUUUGGUAAAAGGUUAACCAACUUUCUGGAUUGCAUUGCACACCCCCAUUUAUUGUAUAAUUUACUCUACUAGUUUCUUCAGUAGAAGACUUGGAUAAAUUAAAGCCUCCUUUGGUUUGGAGGAAUACCCUAGGAAUUCUAUAGGAUAGGAUUCUUAUAGGGUUUUUUUCUUGUCAUGGUCCACCUAGCAGAUUAGGUACGUUAGAGAAACAAAAUGUGUGUUACAUAAAUCUAAGAGAUGUGCUUUCUUAUUUUAAUGAGGUCCACAAGAUCAAGGUCCUGAUCUUUCUGAUAAUUGUGAGAUUUUUUAGCAAAUCUCUCUAUUGUUGGCCUGUAUUUUUCUUUUAGUAGAUAAUAGAUAGAUUUGACUCAAAGGAAUGGGUUCCUAUUUCUGCAUAGGAUUGGUUCUUAUCCCCUACAUUUCAAAGGAAAAUAAACAUGAGCCUAGACUCAAUGAAAAAAAAUUCUAUGAUGUGAACCAAACCACAGCUCCUUUUCUUUUCCUACUCAUAGCAUUUGAGAUAAAUGCCAUCUCAUUUCCUACAAAUUUCCUAGUCCUAUGAUAUAAUCCUAUCCUAUGAACCAAAAGAGGCCUAUAAGUAUGCUUUGUCCACUGCAACUAAACCACCAGAGUACAAAUUAACUCUUUUGUUCCAUCUGACUAAUUAAUGGGUGAAUUAAGCACAUUUUUUUUCGGGAAAACGCAAAGGCUCUGCGUUUCAUUUCAUUGAAAAGGAGGAAAGUUAAAGCUGUACAAGGGUCCGAGCCUGAGGCUCAACAAAAAAGGAAAAAACACUAGGCUAGUGAACAUCCCAGGUUAUCGGCAGGACUACCCCAGGCCAACAGCCCCAGCCCGAACCCAGAGGGCUGCCUCCUCUCUGAUCCUAGCAGAUAGCAGCGUCAUGGAGGGCUGCUCGCCAUCAAACACGCAGGAGUUGCGGUGUUUCCAGAGUAGCCACGCCGUCAGGUGGGUGAUCGUGGCCAAUCCCUUUCGCAUGGCCUUGGGCGUCUCCCGCUUGGCGUGCAACCACCAGUCAUUGAGCGUUGCCUCGCGGUCCGGCGGACGGCAUGCCAGCCGCAGCCAGGAGAGCUCUUCGUGCCACACCUGUCGUGAGAAGGGGCAGGUGACGAGCAGGUGGCGCAUAGUCUCGGGCUCCUGGUCGCAGAACACACAGCGCGGGUGAUGUUGUAGGCUGUGGCGGCGCAGCCUAUCCGCCGUCCAGCACCUGUCCAGGAUGACGAGCCAUAGGAAGAACUUCACGCGCGAGGGAGCCCAGCUCCUCCAGGUCAGUUGCCAAGAGUCGCAGGCAACGGAGCCGUGGAAGGUCGCUAGGUAGGCGCUGCGCGCGGAGUAUGUUCCGCUCGAGGUCCAUCUCCAGAUGAGUUGGUCUAGCUGAUCGUGGAGGGUAACGUUCUGGGUGGCGUGCCAAAGCAGCAGGUACUGGCUGAUCUCGUGGAUGCCCAAGUCGCCACGAAUGUCGCGCGCCCAGGUAUGGUUCUGGAGGCCAUCUGCGAUGGUGCGCUGCUUGCACCAGUGCUUGGGGAUGCAAGCGUAGAGCUGUGGCGCGAGCUCGCCUAUGGAGCGGCCGUCAAUCCAGUGAUCCUCCCAGAAUUUGCCCGAUCUCCCGUCGCCUAUGGCAAGCAAGGUGGAGGCGUAGAACAGGGCGCGCUCCUCGUUUGUGAAGUGGAGGUCAAGGCCGUGCCAGACCCUCGUCUCGUUGGUGCGGCUAAACCAAAGCCAGCGCAGCCGAAGGGCUAGCCCAGCGCGUUCCAUGUCCUGGAUUCCAAGGCCACCGAGGGAGAGCGGCCGGCAGACGCGGCGCCAGUUGAUGUGGCAGCUACCACCAUUGGCGGCAGCGCGACCUUCCCAAAGGAAUCCCCUCUCGAUCUUCUCUAUGAGCUUCAAAGUCUUCUACGGGGGCGAGAGGACGAGUAGUUGGUGGAUGGGGAUUGCACAGAGCACGGACUUGACAAGCGCGAGCCGACCGCUUUGUUCAUGAGGUGGGACUUCCAGCUGGGCAGCAUGCCUCCGACCCUAUCGACCAGGGGUUGCAGCUGCGCAUUCGUGGGCCGUCGAAUGGUGAGCGGGAUCCCAAGAUAUGUGAUUGGCAGGUCUGCAAUCUUGCACCCAAGCGUAGCCGCUAUCGUUGCAGAGCCGCCCGGGGCGCAGUUGAGCAAAGUGGCAGAGCUCUUGCCGUAGUUGACGUGGAGGCACAUUGCUUGCCCGAAGAGCUGCAGGAUCGCCAUGAUCACGGCCAGGUCACUGGGGGAGGGGUGGCAAAACAGCACCACGUCAUCCGCGGAGAGCAAGAUGAUCGGGAUGGGGCGGCGUCGGUGGAGGUGCUCCAGGAUGCCCAUGGUUGCAGCCCGCUGGAAGAGGCGACCCAGCGUGUCCACCGCGAGGACGAACAGCUGGGGCGACAGAGGGUCGCCCUGCCUAAGCCCCCUGCGGUGCCAGAUGGGGGGCCUGGAUCGCCGUUGAGCAGCACCCGAGAGCAGGCGGAUGAUAGUAAGAUGGCCAACCAAUCCAAGAACCUGCACCCGAAGCCACACUGGUGGAGAACUUCAAACAGGAAGGGCCAUGAGAUGGUGUCGAAGGCGCGCGCGAGGUCGAGCUUGAGCAGGAUCAUGGGCAUACGCAGCUGGUGCAGGAGGCGCAACGACUGUCGGACGAGCACGAAGUUAUCAUGCAGGGAACAGCCCGCGAUGAAGGCGUUCUGGUUCUUGCUAACCAGCCCGUCGAGCUUCGGAGCGAGGUGAAGUGAGAGCGUCUUGGCGAAGACCUUGGCAACCAGGUGGAUGAGGCUGAUGGGGCGGAAGUCGCCGUUCGCCUGGGCAUCCGCGCACUUGGGGAGGAGGGAGAUCAUGGCCUGGUUGAGGUGGUGGAAUCCUUGGCCCCGUAGCUGGUGCAGUUGAUGGAACACAGCGAUGAAGUCCGGCUUGACGGUAUCCCAACAAGCGCGAAGAAACUCCGCGGUGAAGCCGUCCGGUCCAGGCGCCUUGCGCGCCGGCAUGCGCGUGAUCGUGUGCCAGAUUUCCUCCUCCGUGAAUGGGGCAUAGAGGUCAUGUAGGCCAUGAUCCGUCUCGAUAAGGUGCUCGAGGUUGAGCGAGCACUCGUGGUCUGGGGCUGUGCCAAUGACGUCAUCGAAGUGGCCGAAGACGGCCUGCACCAUCUCGUUUUGCCCCGUGUGGGUCUGCUGGCCCGAUGACAGGCUGAAGAUGGAAUUCUUCUGACGCCUGUAUGAACACUGCCGGUGGAAGAAUGCAGUGUUGGCGUCCCCCUCCCUAAGCGAAGCAAUGCGCUCGCUGCCGAGCCAUUGUGCGCUCGAGCGAGGCGAAGCCCAGGAAGGCGAGCUUCAGGCUUUUGUGCAGCCAGACCUCGUGCGGCGAGAGCGUUCGGUCCUCCUGAGCUUUAUCGAAACUGAGGAUGAGCACCCUGCAGAGCGCGAGUUUGUGCUUGACGUUGCCCACUGAUUUGGUGCUCCAGCUAGUGAGCCUCUUUGUUGUUUCUUGCAGGCGCAGCCGGAGGCGGCGGAAUGGGUCGUUGUCGUCCACCGAAGCCCAGGCUAGCGCGACCGUUUCCUGGAAUCCGUCUAGGCGCAGCCAAAACUCCUCAAAGCGGAACCGGUGGUGGACUGGGGGUGUGGGGGAGCAAUCCAGCAGGAGGGGGUUGUGGUCGGACACCACCGAGGCGAGGCAGCGCAAGUGACAGUCGCCGACGGCGUCAUCCCAGUAUGACGUGCACAGGACCCUAUCCAGGCGCACCAGAGUCGGCGGGGAUUGCGCAUUGGACCAGGUGUAACGGCGGCCAUUGAGGUACACCUCCCUCAGGGCCAGAUCGCUAAUGCAAUGCCGGAAGCGGCCCAUCAUUCUCCGGUUUAGGUUCCCGUUGUUCUUAUCCUCGUCGCGCAGGAUAAGGUUGAAGUCACCACAAAGCAUCCACGGGCCCGUGCAGUCGCGACGCACGUCCCGGAUCUCCUAGAGGAACGCGACCUUGUCGUCCUCGUCUUGGGGGCCGUAGACAAUGGAGAUCCACCACGGAGUGCCCGCGGGAGAGGCAACCCUAGCGGUGAGGGCAUUGGUGGUGAGCAAUGGGUCGGAGAUCGUCACGACCCUGCUCUUCCAUGCAAGGAGGAUGCCCCCGCGUGUGCCCUCCGCGGGCAGGGACAGGAAGCCGUCGAAGUCGAGGCCCAGGGUCUCCAAAACUAUUGAGGGGUCAAUGAGCGCCAUCUUCGUUUCCUGCAGGCACACUAUCGACGCGUCGGUCGUAGCGAUGAGCGAGCGGAUCGCCAGGCGGCACGCCCUCGCGUUCAGCCCACGCACAUUCCAGAUCACUAGAUUAAGGUUGUGAGACAUAAAAAGAACUAGUUUGACAGCGGGAUACAACGGCGGGCUAGACCUCCGCGAGGCAGCCAGCAUGCACGGACGUGCAUGGGAUCGGGGUGACAAUCGCGGGCAGCUCGCGAUCGACCAACUUGGCGAUAGCGGCGAGCACGUCCACCAAGAUUUCCGUCACGAACACGCCGUCGUAAGCUUUCAUCGCGUCCGCCGUGAUCACCUGGUUGGCGCCGAUGAUGCCCAAGGUGCGCAGAAUCUGCACGCGAGCCCGCCGCUCAGCAGUAGGAGGCACCGAGGUCGCCACCUUCAGCGAGAAGAAGAGGGUGGGGCGACGAGGGCGCUUCCCGGGAGUAGGGCGGCCUUGAGCUGGCCAGUGGCAGCCGCAAGGAAAUCCCCCAGCGUCCAGGCGAUGGGGCGCGAUUCAGCUCUCGGGCGCGAUCUCCGCAGCGUGAUGGGCGGCGAGGCGAAUCGGCAUGCAGUGGGGCGAGGGGUCUCCACCGAGUGUGGGCUGGCCGGCAGGGACGCGUUGCUGGGUGCAAGGCUGUCGUCGAGCCCCGGCCCAACCAAAGUGUUGCCAAGGCCCAACCCGAGAGGGGAGGGUGGCCCAGGCGUCAGCUGAGGAGAGCCCGCGCCUGGCACGAGGAGUGCGGGAUUUGAAUCCGGUGUGGGGUCGUCCUCGGGGUCGAAAGGGCGGGAGUGAGGUGCAGUUGUAACCCUCUGAAACUCCUAAUCAUUAUCCUGUGUUGAGCCAAGAAGUACGUGUGUACACUAAUUAAAGCCAUUUGAGGAAAGCAAUUGUCCAGUUAAUUGGAAUUAAUGAUCUUGUGGUCCUAGGAUUUAUAGAGAAGGAAUAUCUAUGUUGUGGCCAGUUUAGUUAUUGGCACCAGCAAAAAACAAAUCUAUGUUGACAUGUAGGUCAUGUGUAUAUCAUAACACUGUAGAUAAUUGUGUAAUGCAAGACAACCUUAUGUGCAAGCAAUGAAGAGAGUAUCAAAGGGAGGGCAUUGAUUGCAUGAAAGUGUGGCUGCAAUCUAGUGCCCCCCUCUUAAUAGUCCUCCGUUUCAGAAUCUAAUGUGCAUCAAUUUUCGUGCAAGCCAAACUUAGACUAGUCAUAGUGGGGAGUAACUAAGUAGUAACAUCAACGCCAGUGGGCAAAAAAUCUGACGUGGCAAAUAUUUAAUGUGGAGAGAGAUGGUAGUGGUAACGUAGCUAGUUACCAUCACAUCACAUAUUUCAAUGCACUAUGUGUCUACAACCUAAUAAAUGUUUGUUUGCAUGACACCACAUGUAUGUUACUCCCCACUAUGNNNNNNNNNNNNNNNNNNNNNNNNNNNNNNNNNNNNNNNNNNNNNNNNNNNNNNNNNNNNNNNNNNNNNNNNNNNNNNNNNNNNNNNNNNNNNNNNNNNNNNNNNNNNNNNNNNNNNNNNNNNNNNNNNNNNNNNNNNNNUUACUCCCCACUAUGAAGGUAGUAACAUAGACUAAUAACAACAUCAUGUUACUACUCUUAGUUACUCUCCACUAUGAGCAGCCUUAUGCAUGUUCAAUACAAAAUAAAUAAAAUAUGACAUACUUGUAGUGAACUACUGAUAUUAUAAUAAUUUUUUUUGGUAUUGUAGAUAUUGAUAUUUUUCUCUUAAAACUUGGUCAAACAUGGACAUGGUUAAUUCUUGAAAAAACUAAUACACCUUAUAUUAGAAAACAGAGUGAGUACAUUACAUAUGUUUAACCAUGUGGAUCAAUUUGUGCUUAAUGGAUGGCUCCUCUCUCCGCUCCGCUCCGCUCCUCGCAGCUCCCGCUCCUAGCCAGCCCCCGCGCCUAGCCGUGUAGCCCCGCUGCCGUCCUGCCUGCCGGUCGCCCCCGCCUCUGCCGCGCCAUGGCCACCUCGGACGACGGCCGCGACCCGCGCCGCCACCAUCGCGAGGACCGAUGGAAGGACUCGACAGCUCCUCCUCCGGCACGUGCUCCUACCGCGACGUCGCCCGCNNNNNNNNNNNNNNNNNNNNNNNNNNNNNNNNNNNNNNNNNNNNNNNNNNNNNNNNNNNNNNNNNNNNNNNNNNNNNNNNNNNNNNNNNNNNNNNNNNNNNNNNNNNNNNNNNNNNNNNNNNNNNNNNNNNNNNNNNNNNNNNNNNNNNNNNNNNNNNNNNNNNNNNNNNNNNNNNNNNNNNNNNNNNNNNNNNNNNNNNNNNNNNNNNNNNNNNNNNNNNNNNCCCGCCUGGGCCCCCGCUCGGAGGUCCACCGCGUGGAGGACGCGGCGCAGCCAGCGGCGGACGCGGGCGGAGCCUGGGAGCAGCCGAGGAGCCGGCAUCGCCGCAACUCCCGGCGUGCGGACGCGCCAACGCCGCGGCUCCGCCGCAGCCCCAUGCUGGAGGAGUCGGCGGGCCUCUGCUUCCGCUGCCUCGACCCGGGCCACACCAUCCACAACUGCACCAACGGGCUGCGCUGCCGGCGUUGCCUCCUCCUUGGCCACGAAUCCAGGAACUGCACCCCUGCACGUCGGGCUCACGACCGCGCUCUUCUGGCUUCGGCCGCUCCGCCACAGUGGCGCACGGCUCUGACGCUNNNNNNNNNNNNNNNNNNNNNNNNNNNNNNNNNNNNNNNNNNNNNNNNNNNNNNNNNNNNNNNNNNNNNNNNNNNNNNNNNNNNNNNNNNNNNNNNNNNNNNNNNNNNNNNNNNNNNNNNNNNNNNNNNNNNNNNNNNNNNNNNNNNNNNNNNNNNNNNNNACCCCCGCCGCCCCGCGCAGCGACGCCCGCUGUCGACCCCCCAGGCCCAGCGCGCGUCAUCGUCCCCCGCUCCAUUGAGAUCGAGGAGGCCGAGGCGGCGCUGCAAUGUGGGAUGGUGGCCACCAUCACCGGCUCCAGGCCACCCGUCGCCGCCGACGAGGUCGCGGACGCGCUCUUCAACAACCUCGAGCUGCAGCCCGGAGACUUCUCGAUCCACCUCCACCACCCCGAGGACUUCCUCAUUGUCUAUGCCUCGCAGGCCAUCAAGGACAGGAUCUAUGGCGACCACCACAUCGAGGGCCCCUCCUUCUCGCUGUCUCUGCGCCCCUGGAGCAAGCUUGCCCACGCAUGGUAGCCUGGGACACCGCGUCGAGCUCGAGCUUCGCGGCAUCCCGGCACAAGCCUGGAACUUGAGCACGGUCGAGCGCAUCCUCGGCGACUCUUGCUGGGUGGAGCGCAUCCAUCCGGAGACUCGUUCCAGGACCGACCUCGCCACCUUCCGGCUCUCCGGCCGCACCCGUGACCCGUCGUCCAUCCGCCGCCAUGUCGUCCUCGAGAUCGUCGAAUGCAUUCCGGCGCGCGCCCCCUCCCAGGCUCCCACAUUGCGCUCCCUGACCUACCAGAUCGCCAUCAGGGUGGUGCACGAUGAGAAUAGCCGGCCUACGCCCCCUCCUGCCCGCCACGCCGGCGGCCCUGGGGACGCCGGAGGGGAUCCUCCCCCUGGGCGCAAUGAUGGUCGUGGCCCUGGUCGCCGUCGCGGCCGCAAGCGCCAACACCCCAACGCGCCGGUUGCGCCCGCAGGCCAUGCCGAUGACGCGCCGCUUGACUCCCUGGCAUGGGCCGCCGCCGGGGGCUCGCGCCGUUCUGACGGGGUCGCCGUUGACACCUUCUAGAAGUCCGCCGAUCACCGCUCCCGUACGACACGGCCACCGCCGCCGGCGGCUGCCGCUGCGCGCAUGAGAGGCAUGUUGCCGUGGCCCGGGAGGGUUGGGCCCCAUCGCCACCGUCAUCAGCCUCCAAAAGGCAAAGGAACCUGCCAGCGGAAUGACCGAUCUCCUGACAAAAGUGCGGCCGGGCCCUCCACGGUCCAAGAUGCGAUCGGCGCACUUUCGGUAGGGACAGCUGGCGCCCCCGAUUGCUCAGCCGCCCUUCCUCGCCAGGGACAGGGCCCGCCACCCACCAGCCAGACUUGUCGCCUUCCGCGCACGAGCACGAUCCAUCCUGCACCCCGCCUGACUCAGCCGCUGCACCAGCCCCGGAUCCAAGGCGGGCCAGGCGCGAAGCGACCCCUGAUUCGCCCGGGGACGAGAUGGUCCCUGAUUUCCUGCCUCCCCGUCCGCGGCACCCGAGGAGGAUACCCUGUGGGGACAAAGCGGGUCUUUGGCAGCGUCACGCGCUCCCAGCCUGCGUGGUGACGACUACGAGGUGACGCCCUGUACAUGGGGAGAACUGAGACCACGAGGCAUGCACAUAUGGUGUAGAUAAUUCAGCGACAUGCACCUAUGCAUUGCAAAAAGGUGUAUGUCCAGGCACUGUCUAAUCAACCUUUGACAGGGCUUGAAAACUAAGUUGUUUUAUAUGUGAGUGGGAUUAGCUAUGCAAUUAUGUUUUCAAAAGUUCCGGUGUGUCAUGCAUGCAUGGGUGGGUGAACGUGUGGGCCAAAAGAUGCACACAUGCACCACGGUGGGAUAUCAUAUUAACUCUAAGAUUGACAAAUCCUGAAGAGUCAUCAGAAUACAUUACAUCAUGUAAAAUUGUAAUUUCCAAGUUGAAUACUGUAGAUGGACAAAGCAUGCAACAUCAAUACUCUAUUUGUAACUAAAUACUUGUAGUUGGGAAGAACUAAACUAGUUCUCCUCAACUACAAGUAUUUAGGCAUAGAGGGAGUAGAUCGCUAUUUCUAGUUCAUAUCGAAAGUUCUCGCCGAAUUGCGAUGUAGUCCUUGGGGUAGCAUGUGGGUGUCUGGCAACUUUGUGUCUUGUCUUGGGUGGGCUUGUUGUGUGCAGUGGUGUGUGUUGGUAUAACCUUGUUGGGGUGUAAAGUUUGGUUGCUUUACAUAUAAAACAGGGACAAAUCAUCUUUCGUCAAAUUGCGGUGUGACAAGGAAUUUCCUACCUUGUUGAUUACAUAUGUCACAACUGUAUGAAAAUUCAUAUGACCGAAUUUCUAGCUUGUUGAUUUUCUUGGUGUUUUCCAAAUUUACAAAUAUGAUGUUUGCUAAAUUCUGAAAAAUAGAUUCGGAUAAACACAAGUUGCAAGUAUCCACUCUCCAAUCACACACAUAUCCAUGCAAAUGAAGGCUUAGUUUGCAAUUCUUAAAAUAGUAGCGUGCUUAUUUUAUAAGAUAUUAUGGAAUAUUAACCAUAAAAACAGGCAAAUAAAGCACAUCAAGCAAGCACUAAAUGGGCACAAGCAGCUCACACAAAAAGGUAUAAUCACAAUCUACACGGAUGGCAAUAGCAGCCUAAAAAAACUAAACAGAUUAAUGAUAUCCCCUGUCCACCAGAGUUCAAGUCUCAGACUUGACGUUGAUGCUUGCAUUUUCCAGGAUUUAUUUCAGGUCUUUCAGUGAUGUGCUUUCACUGAGACGAGACGUUCCCGUCGACAACGAAUGCGUCAGUAGCGACUUCGUCAAUCUCAAGAUAAUAUGCCGGCUUAGUCUUUGGAAGGUGCUCACAGGGGUAGGAUGUGCGUGCGUGCGUUCAUAGGGGUGAGUGUACGUUCGUGUAUGUGAACGACUUUGAUUGUACUCUCCUAAAAAAACAUGCAGACGUGCAUACUACUAAUAUGUUUUUUCUAGUUAAUUAACAACAUUCCCACUAAUUAUGCAACUUGUUAUUCAAAAAGCUACAGUACAUAUACCACUUAAAAGCAAUUAACAAGUUCUUGAAAAAUUUCCACACUCCAAGUAAGGGCAUCUCCGAUACCGACCUUCAAACCGUCUGCAUACGUCUGUACCGUGCGGUUUGGACCCCGGAAGCCAUUCAACGCUGUCUUAUAUGGGUCCACUAGGCGGUUUGUGACACACUUUUUCCCGCAAACCAUGAACAAAGUGGAGGGAGGAGGUGUAGGUGUCCGGACCACUACAACGCCCACUCCUAAAUACCCUGGCCAUCAAAAACCUUCCUCCUUCGCCUGCUUGAGUUCCCGCCCGCCCUAGCUGCCCGGAUUCAUGCCACUGUAGAGCGGCCGUUCCGCAUUGACAUUGGGCUAGAGCGGGCGCGACCUCUCACUCCCACCGGCAUUGAAGUGGCGUGCCGGUCGAGAGCUCUACCUACGCCAUGUCCAUGUUGUCCGUGCAAGUUCAAUGCCACAUAUAGGUUUAAUGUACGACCCAGGACGGAUAUCUACCACUCCCGUUCAAUGCCCGCUCGUCUAUGUGAUGCCAUUGGGUAGGAUCGUCGGCUGAGGAACAAGCUCCGGCGCCGUGGAUUGAUGCAGCCGAACGGUUGGCCUCAUCUACUUCGUUAUUUAAAGGCGGCCAGACACGGCUGAACUCCGCACCAUAACACAUAUUCUCCAUAUCCUCCUCCCAUGCACCACAUCCACCAUGACCGCGGGUGGGAGUGCUCAGUGGGAGAGCCUGUCGACGGCGAUGAAGCACAAGAUCGCCGCCCUUGCAGCCACCUGGCAGAGCCACCGUACCAGGCGGAUCGAGGUCGGCAUGCCGGGCACCUCUCCCGAGCUCUAUGGUGGCAACCCCACAAAAAAGAUGGGGCCGACGACACUACGUCGGAGUUGAAGCCGGUGCAUGCUGGCUUGACGUUCUAGCAAGCACAGGAGGAGCAGAUGUACAACCUGCUCCUUCUCGAUAAGCACCGACUGACGGAUUGUCAAAUCUACGGCAAGCGCACAAGCGAGGAGGUCCUGGCUGUCAUGGUCGUGACAAACCCGAUCUUCGUUGCGAAGCAUCAGGCGCUCAACGAGGCCGCACGUGCUCUACUCGCUGCUUGCAACGCAGUGUAGACCCAGCUAGAUGUGAACGCGGCCACACAAGCGAUGCCCGCGUAGGCGGUCGCGGACAAGUAUGCGGAUAGCUGCGCAUCCUACACUCCACUGUCCACAUUUCGGGGGUGCAUGUGGCAGGUGGACAAUGACGGGCCAUCCACGUCCAUCAUCGACCUCAUGUCCACCGGCACUAGCGGCGGACAGGUCGCAGAUUCCUUCGAGGAUGAGUAUGGCAUUGUGUCCCAUGUGGGUCAGUAUCCCAUGUUUUACUCUUCUUUGUUAGAGACUGCACCUUCACUUUACGGAUCUUAAACACCGUCGCCGUUUAUGGGGAUGGCAGAUAAAGGACGUUGUCGCUGAUGAAGAAUACAAAGGAAGGAGACGACGGGCAUUGCCGUAGAAUAGCUUUCAGGGUCCGGCCUUUUUGUCCUAAAUUUUCGUACAUAAAUGGAAAAUGUUUAUAAUGUAAUUAUCACUAAAAAGUUAUCCUUCUAUUUGUUGGCCUUGUGGACAUACAUGUGACUGCUCACUAGAUUGUCCACUCAACACACCCUCACCCAGAUUACCAAAUCAAUUUCCGAGGUCAACUAUUCCCAUACACAUGCACAUGCUAGUAUGUUCUUCUAAUUAAUGAAUUUCAGCACACUUCUUUAAUUUGCCGCUCAGAUCAUCACCUGGCAAGCUAAGGCCAGCUCUUCUAAUUAGUUUGAGUAUAUUUUUAUUUGAUGUAAUUAGUUUGAUUAUAUGAACUAGUUGCCAUCCCUUCGCAAAUCCAGUUGGGCAAAUGACAGACACACAAUAUCAAGGUAGCUGCAUGGUGGGUCCCACUGCUAAUAAAGGUCGCUAAAUGUGAGCCCCACUAGGCCACCAUAAUACGUCUAUGAUGAGGUGCACCAAAUUGGUUUAGGUGACACGAGGGAAAUUAAAAUGGAAGGGAACAGGCAGAGGCAGGUAGUUCCUUCAACGUUUGGAGGCCAUAGUCCAGACGUGUCAGGUCAUCCGGACCUAACUCUCCUCUGCCUUCUGCACACGUGCCGCACGUACACCACGGACCCUGUCUCUUUUUUCUAACAGUGCAUCUGUCGUUUCAAACAUUUUCAUGAUCAUAGGAUCCUAAUAGAUGAUAUUCAUCUGUCAUUUCAUAUCAAUAUCAUGGGUGCAAAACCUGAUAUGCUUUUGCUUUCACGUCGAAAGAAAUUAUCAUGCCAGUAGUACGUUCCUACAUAUUUGUUUAGAAACGAACCCGUAGAUUUAAUUGGUUCGUUCGUUACAGAGAUUAUUACACUUGUGUGGGAAAAAGAUCAAACACCAAUUUGACCCCGACACGGGCGACUAGGGGCGGUGCUCGAGUUCCUCCCCGCGGGCGUCCUCCUCCUCCAUCUCCCCACCGUCGCCACCGGCGGGUCCUCCUCACUAGUAGAAAAAGGGGCUUCCGUCCCAGCUCAAUUUACACAUUAGUCCCGGUUCGAACGGCAAGGGCGGCGGUCGGUCAUUAGUCCCGGUUCAAAAGGGACCUUUAGUCCCGGUUCGUGUCUCAAACCGAGACUAAAGGGUUUGGAGGAUUUAGUCCUGGUUCGUGUCUUGAACCGGAACUAAAGGGUAGACCUUUAGUCCCGGUUCGAGACACGAACCGGGACUAAAGGGGUUUUGUAUUUUUAUUUUUUCCUGUUUUUAAAUUUUAUUUCUGUUUGUAGUUUCUGUUUUAAAUUGCUUAUAUCUUUUAGGAUAUUUAAUUUUUUUUGAUGAUUCUUUUUGCAUUAGAUUCAAAAUUUUGUCUAGUUUCUGUUUGUGCAAUUAGUUUUUAAAUUUGAAUUUGUUCAAAUUUGCUUCAAACCCAAAUUGUGAAUAACUUNUUAUUUUGUUUAUUUUAAUAAUUGUCUGAAUUUAAAAAAUUAAAUCAUGUGACAUGACAUCAAACCUUAGGUUAUUUAGGAUUGAUAGCUUACUAUUGUCAGGAGAACAACAAGUGCAGACUUGGCAACUAGUGGCGAUAGAACCAGGAAGUUAAGCGUGCUCGGGCUGAGGCAGUGAAAGGAUGGGUGACCGGUUGAGAAGUUAGACGAUUUGAAAUGAGUAAUCUACGCUAGAGCAGUGAAGAUGGGUGAUUAGAGAUUAAAUUGUCAAAUAAAUCAAAGAUUUAAAAAUUGAAAUAAAACAUAAAAACAAAUAAAAGAAUAUUCAAAAAUAAAAUUUAAAAAAUCUUUACCUAAUAAUAAAGAGGCUAUCGUUUCCGUCGGAAAACCCACCGAGGUGAUUUUACAAAAAAACUCUUACUGUUUAUGACAUUAAACUCGUAGUAUAUAUUAAAUGUUUUUUAAAAUACUCAUAUCUUUUAAACCGUAACUUCAAAUUUAACAUAUUAUAUAUGAAAUUUGAUUAGAAAAAUAUGUAGAAUUUAAAUAUGAUAUUAUUUUAUCUGUUAAACGCUUAAUAAAAAUAAUAUCUAGGAUGCAAUCUUAAUAAAUAAGUCAUUAUUCGUCUUUCUUUCAUACCGGUACUCAUCCGGGUUGGGGAUGAGCACGUCAACAAAAUCAGGAUUAGAGAUGAAACUGAAGGUCACUUGACUUAUUCUUUGUACGUAUUAAAUCUACAUGCAAGUCGUGUUAAAAUAGAAGACCUGUGAAAUUUUGAACUGCAUUUUUGUAGGAUAAGACAAUCUUUAUUUGUGUCGUAACUACAAAUUCUCAUAUUAUAGACAUUUUUUAUAAAUUAAGAGCGUGUGGUAUUUCUUUCUCCCGUUGCAACGCAUGGGCCCUUUUGCUAGUAAAUAAAAAAGGUACCUUUUUGCGUCAAAUAAACAGACAGAUCCUUUAGUUCCGGUCCGUGUUAAGACCCGGGACUAAAGGGCCUACCCCUGAGGGCACUCCGAGGCGCCCAUGUGGAGGACCUUUGGUCCCGGCCUGGAACAGGGCCGGGACUAAAGGUUAGGCUUUUAGUCCCGCCUCUUUGGUCCCGGUUGGUGAAGCGGGACUAAAGCCCCUUAUGGGCCGGGACUAUAGGCCCUGUCCCCACUAGUGCCUUUUCCCGUGUGUGCGUUCCCCCUUCCUGGGGUAGGGGACGGCAGCGGUGCAGCUCGGCCUGGCUGCGGUCCGGCAACCCGGUGUUGGUAGCCGGCGGCGGGUGAGGUGAUGGUGCUGCUCCUUGACGGCAGGGCGGCGUGAUGGUGCGGGGUGGCCGGCGGCGCGCCCUCGGCCCAGAUUUGGGCCUUGCAGGCUCCAUCUGGGUCCUAGCGGGUCGGCACUCAGCGUGGCUGUGUUGUCUUCUGGGUGGUGGUGAGGAGGAGCAGCUUGGAUGAGCGGCGUCGUCGCCGACAAUGUACCUGUUGCAGCGCGACGUCGGGAGCUUUACGGGGGGUCCCGACUGGGCCUAUGGGCCCACAUGCCCGGUAUGCUCCUGCUAUUGCGUUCGGUCGGCUAGAGGUUGAGCCCUCCCGCGUGCCGACGGUGCUGCUACUCCUAGUCCCGGCUCCUCUUCGUCGUCGUGCAGGUCUCUCCUUACGGUGUCGUCGUGAGACGGUGCAGGGGCCUCAAGACCGUGUUGGUGCAGGGUGUGGGUCAGUUUGGUGGCAGGCUCCGAAGCGUCCGAGGUGCAAGUUGGGAUCGGGGAAAGACCCUGUCGGCUCAGCCGACACUGACGCGGUGACGCCUGUAGGUGUCGUCGAACCUUCCUGGAGGGCGUCGGGGCUACCCUUCCUCGCGCCUCGUCGCGUACCGGGGGAAACCCUUGGCAGCAGUGUCGUCAUCGUCGCAUUCCUUCUUGGAGGUUUUGAUGGGUACCGACGUUUUGGAGUCCUGGAGCUUGGUGGGAGACUCUUGAUGGACGCAGCGGUAGCGAGUCUUUUGCGUUUUUUGUCGAUCCGCCGGUGUCUCUAUUUAUUUCUUUUGUAUUUUAUUUUUAAAUUUUUUUGACGUGAUUGUGCUGUUUUCGCCGCAGCACCUAUCGUCGGAUGUAAUGGCUGGUUGCUCUGUAAUACAAAGCGGAGGAAAUCCUUUUUGGUCCAAAAAGAUCAAACACACACACACACAACAAAGAUGCUCCCUGUGUCUUAAAAAACGUCUUACAUCUUGAAAGAGGCAGUAUCUUGUAAAAUAGACCGAUAACAAAAUCCUAGUUGUUACAUUUGAUAACAAAAUCCGGGGACGUUUGACCAACAUAUGAGGCCGCGAAACAUAUAUAUAAGAUCAGAUGUGGGGUCUUUGAUCAUGUACAUGGCGACAACAGAGAAAUAACUAUUUCUGAAUCGACUGAGGUCUCGCUAUAUAUAUAUAUAUANUAUAUAUAUAUAUACACACACACACACGCGCGCGUAUAGUAGCUCCUGGCAUGGUGUAGUCUCUUGAAUUUCCACGCACACAUCUGCUGCAUGCAUAUACGAAAUAAGCAUGGAGUACUAUACUAUCCAUCCACUUGUUCAUGCAAUACGUAGGGAGGCAACAAAACAGCACACACGCCAGCAUAUCUAACUAAGCAGCAUGCGUACGUGCUUAAGCAAACUGAUUCGGUCCAUAGCCAAGAAAGUCAGAGAGAGGCAGACAGAGAGAGAUUUAGAGAGAGAAACUAAUAGGUCGCUAGAGAGAGAGACAGUAAGAAAGAGAGAGAGAGAGAGAGUCCCGCACACAAAGACUUCCCUUUUUUACCAUUCGAUGCCACCAUGCAAUGCAACCUAUAUAUCCACCCCAACGAAACCUGAAAAACCUAACUCCUCGUCGUCCAUUGCUACCUACACCUCUCUCCAGCAAGCUAAGCUAAGCGCACGAAAGCUAGGCAGAGGUAGAAGAAGAAGAAGCUAGAGCUGCUAGUCGUCAGUGGGGCGAUGGGGCGGUCGCCGUGCUGCGACGGGAAGGCCGGCGUGAUCGUGAAGAAGGGGCCGUGGACGCCCGAGGAGGACAAGCUUCUGGUCGACUACAUCCAGGAGAAGGGCCAGGGCAGCUGGCGCCGCCUGCCCAAGCUCGCCGGCCUCAACCGCUGCGGCAAGAGCUGCCGCCUCCGCUGGACCAACUACCUCCGCCCCGACAUCAAGCGCGGACGCUUCACCGACGACGAGGAGAAGCUCAUCAUCCA
rnacentral:lncRNA from 1 species